CAAUACUGCUGCAAUUGUCAACACCAUAGUUAUGUAAAACACACCAAAGCUGGCAUAGAAACUGUCCAUGUCUAUGAAGCCACCAUCUCCAUUGAAAUCGUUAGGCACUCUUGCGGAUGGUGAUUCUGUUUUGUCGCAACUGUUUUGCAAUGGAGGUCCACAAAGAAGAGGAUUCCCUUUAUAACUGCUCUCAUCAAAGGUACCAAAUUGAUUUUUCAUCUCCAGUGUUCUUCCUGACAAAUUAUUGUACGACACGUUGAAAACUUCUAGAAAGGUCAGUUCAACGAGUUGUUCUGGAAUUCUCCCAUUCAAGGUGUUGUGAGAAAGAUCCAAGCUCUCUAUCUGCUUCAGAUUGGAGAAAGAUGGAGGGAUCAAUCCAGUGAGAUUAUUUCGCGACAGAUUUAGAGAGUAUAUCCCACUUAAGUUUCCCCAUUCUGUCGGGAUUUCUCCAGUGAAUCUGUUACAAGAAAGGUCCAUAACAGACAUGUAACGAAGGAUAUCGCCUUCGUAAGAGUAGAAAUUUUUCUUUGUUGUAAGCUCUACAGAUAUUUUUACACUGAUCUCUGGCCACAAAAUUUUGCCAUAAAGAUAAAAACCUUCGUGCUCCAAUUCUCUUUCCCCCAUGGAUGCAAAUAUUUCUUUCCGGCUUCCAUCAUCUUGUGAGUACGUACUAGUGACAACCCAAGUUUUUUCAUAUGAUGCCGUAAAAUCUAAAUUGCUCAAACAUGAGGGUAACAGACUAGAAAAAUUAUUUUCUGAAAGAUCCAAUAUGCUUAAUUUCCUUAACAAGCAUAAUUGAACAGGAAGUUCCCCAUUGAAUUGAUUAGAUUUCAAAAGAAGAAAACUCAAUUCCGAAAGUCUAUCAAUCCAAUUUGGAAUUGGCCCAGUUAAGUUGUUAUAGCCGAGAUCUAAUGUCACCAAAGAAGAGAUGUUAUAAAAAGCAUUUGGCAGUGGACCGGUCAAUCGAUUUCCGUAUAGGUGGACAUAGCGUAAAUGCGGUGCAUAAAAGCCCAACGGCAAAGACCCAGACAAAUUGUUUUCAGAAAGAUCUAAAAAUUCAAGCCUAGAAGGAUUGAAAUAUUCUUUUGGAAUGGUACCUUCAAACUGAUUUCUGGACAAAUCAAUUGCCUGAAAGGGGUAUAUUGAAGAGUUCCCAAUUCCCCUUGGAAGCAUGCCUGACAAAAGAUUGUUACUUAUAUCAAACCACAAAAAUGAUGAUGCAAGAGAAAAGGUACCAGAUACUUGUCCUGCAAAUUUGUUUCCGUCGAGAAAGAGGUACUCUAGGUGAGUCAUGUUGAACAAAGAGAGUGGUAAUCGCCCUUUGAAAUUGUUAUUGGACAGCUUUAAGGACCACAACGAGGAGCCUACUGCUGGAAAAUUAUGCUUAAGCAGUUCACAAGACAUCUGAUUGUUGGAAAGAUCAAAGUAUUCGAGAGAGCUCAUAUUCCCAAAACAAGGAGGAAUACAACCUGUGAGGCUGUUGUUAGCCAUCAUGAAGUUUUUCAAACGUGGAAAAAUCGAACAUAUGUUGCUUGCAAUUUGACCAUGUAUGUUGUUGCCAGACAUAUCUACUGUCUGAAGGUUGGGUGUUGGAUGUUGUGGCAGCUGCAAAAGACUUGUAAAUGAGGUGUCUCUCAAAUAUAGCCGAUUUAACUUUCUAUUAUUCUCAAACAGCCAAGAUGGGAAAGGUUCUCCAACGAAUUUGUUGUGGGAUAGAUCAAGAAACACCAAAUCAUGUUGGCUAUGCAGGAAGUUUGGAAAUCCAGCUCUGAGUGGUUUUGAAGUACAGUUUGAAGCACUGAAGUAACGAAGCUGGAACUUGGGAGCUGAAGGCUGAAAACUGGGUGCAGCUAUCAGCUCAUUGUUAUCGCAUGCAAUGAACUUGAGGUUGGAGAGGUUCAUAAAUGAACCAAAUGUUAUUGGAACUUGAAAGUAGUUACUUGAAACUGAGAGGUAUUCAAGCUGCGUAAGAUGGGAAAGGUGACUAGAGGCAAUAUUUCCCUCCAAUUGGUUGUCAGAUACAUCCAAGAUUUGUAGAGAUGAUAGAUUUCCAAAACAAGGAGGGAGUACGCCCUUUAGAUAGUUUCUUGAGAGAUAUAGCUUUUCAAGAUUCUUCGGUUCACACCAGCCUGCAGAAUAUAUCAAUAUGUUCAUAUAUCAAUUAUGUAAUUGCUUGGUGAGGUUUUAAAGUUUUAGUUGAUUCUUGUUUCAUUACCUAGGUCGGUUUUAGAUUAUAUUUAAACAACUUUGUUUGUUAGUUUUUUAAAAGAUUAAUUAUCUAUAUUAUUGAUAUUCAUAAUUUUUUUAAUUCAAAGUUUUUUCUAUAAUUUAAGACAGAGAAAUUUUAGAGAUUCAGAAACUCUAGAUUUUAUCCUUUUCUAUACAUAACAUUAUGAGUAAAUUUCUAGUUUAAUAAAACAUAGAUAUAACAAAAUAUCUAAUGAACAACUGUUAUUUGGAUUUCAAUACUCUUAUAAUUGUUCAUUUGUAGAAUUACCAUCCCAAUAUCCAUAUAAAUUCAAUGAAAUAUAAAUUUGUGUGUUAAUUUUUUGAUAUUAUAUCAAUAUUUUAAUAACCAAAUAUUCAUGAAUUCUAACAUAUCACAUAUAAAUUCUAACUAGUUGAUCCUUUAAUAAAAUUUUAAAAAUUGAACAAAAGUUAAUGGUUAAUACACAUCUAUUUAUUAGACAAAUUCACUAAAGAAUAAAUUAAGCCUCACUAAGGAAUGUCAUCCAAGGAAGGAAUGAUUUACAACUUUACCAUUGAGACCAGUUGAUCCUGUGAACAUAUUGUCUGAUAGAUCUAGAGAUUUGAGAGUUGAAAAUCCAUUGAGAGAUGAUAAAAUGCUGUCGUUAAAUUUAUUGUUACUUAGAUAAAGUUCCUCCAAAUUCCUCAACCCUGAAGCUAGGACUUGAAAACCUGAAAGAAAAUUGUCGGAAGCAAAGAAAUUAACAGAUAUAUAUAUCAACCAUCCCAAUAUCCAUAUAAAUUAAAUGAAAUAUAAAUUUGUGUGUUAAUUUUUUGACAUUAUAUCAAUAUUUUAAUAACCAAAUAUUCAUGAAUUCUAACAUAUCACCUCCAUUCUUUUAAUAAAAUUUUAAAAAUUGAACAAAAGUUAAUGGUUAAUACACAUCUAUUUAUUAGACAAGUUCACUCAAGAAUAAAUUAAACCUCACUAGGGAACGUCAUUUGAGGUAGGAAUGAUUUACAACUUUACCAUUGAAACCAGUUGAUUCUGUGAAUCUAUUGUUUGAUAAAUCUAGAGAUUUGAGAGUUGAAAAUCCACUGAGAGAUGAUAAAACACUGUUGUUCAAUUUAUUGUCACUUAGAUAAAGUUCCUCCAAUUUCCUCAACCCUAAAGCUAGGACUUGAAAACCUGAAAGAAGAUUGUCAGAAGCAAAGACAAUUAAAAGAUUUAUAUAUCAACCAUUUCAAUAUCCAUAAAGAUUCAAUGUAAAGUUACUUGAAACAUAACUAACUUUAUGUGUUAACUAAAAAAAAAUUGAAAGCAUAGAACCUUGGUUCUUUAAGCCACCAACUAAUUGGUUGCCGCUUAAGUCGAGAAUCUCCAGUUCUUUGAAAGGCAGAAACAAAGGUGCAUUGAGAUCCAAGUCUUCGACUGCAUCAUAAUUUACAUAUGAAAGAUGUAGUUCGAUCACUCGGUUUGUGGUGUUGUCACACACAACCCUAUAAUAAUCCCAGUUACAGCAAUUAAAGUGCUCUUUAUCCCAACGUUCUAGCGGAUCAUAGGACCCAGCUGCACGUGCAUGAUAGAACCAAGCUUUUAUCUCUAAGAGACUAACUCUCUCUUCCUCCACACAACAAUGGCUCCGGUCGUUGAGGAAGGCCAGUGCCAUGAGCAGCAUCCACACCCACAUUUGCCUCAUCUUCAUAUUAACGCUCCUACUUGACAAAAUACAAAAGCAAGCAAGCUGUCUCUUAUAUACAAAUUAAUUUGUCCUCUUCAUUUGAUCGGACUUAAUUAUCUGUAUCAUUGAAUUUUCUAUGCUGAAUUAAUUAUCCAAGGGAGACUUGGGCUGAAUUGAAUGGGAGAAUCUUCACGGACAGAUCCAGGGGCCCGCACCACGGCACAGAUCGCUCGGUUUGUGGUGUUGGAUUAAAGGAUAUUAAUUCCAACUUCUUGUUUACUGCUUUACUUUUCUUCAUAGACUUGGGAAGUCAGGUGCUGUAUAUGAACAAUUGAUUUGAUCUUAUGAAAUACACGGCAGAAGAGAUUAGAAAAUGACUUCUAUUAUCAAUAAUUUCUUCUUACUGCACCUACUGAUUUUUAUUUCUUUUGAAAUAUUUAGAAUAUCUCUUUUGAAAUAUCAAUAUCGCCUACCCCACUUCCUUCAUUUUUGUUAACGGAGUGAAAUGAUUUCAACACGUGUCCAUGCAUCUGCCAGCUACCCUAAUUAAUCUGCACUAACAGUGACCAUAACAGCUGUAACAAUACUCCCUCAAUACUUGUAACAUCAUCCUAAUAUAUAUAUAAUAGAUUGGAAGCAUGCAUGGGUUUCUUACAUGAUUAACUAAACUUAAUCUUGUAAUAUUGAAUUAUUUGAUGAAAACAUUAUCUAAAACAAGAUUAAUUGAUAUAUUUAAAGUCAAAUAAAAAACAAACCCUGCUUAUUUUUAAUAUUAAAAAUUAUUUCUAACAUAAAUUUUUAACAUAAUAAUUUAUCAAAAUUAAAAUAAAUUAGAAUCACCGUUUGAGCAAUUGAUUUGAUCUUGGGCCCACAAUUAUUUUCAUUAGCCUGUUAAUAUUUUUCUUCAAGCUUGUGGAACAGGUUGUUCCUUUAGGCUACUUUGCUUCUUCUUUUUUUUCUUCUUAGACUUGGGAAGUUAUUUGUUUGAACAUUUAAUUUAAGUUUUUAUGGUUGUUUGUUUUUGUGUUUUAAAAGUAUUUUUAAAUAAAUUUUAAAUUUUUUAAUUUUUUUAUUAACUUCAAAUUAAUAUAUUUUUAGUGUUUUCAAAUCAUUUUGAUAUGCUAAUGUCAAAAAUAAUUUUUAAAAAAUAAAAAAAUAUUAUUAAUAUAUAUUUUAACAUAAAAAAUUAUUUAAAAAACAAUAAUAUAAUCUCAUCAUCCAAUAUCGCUUGUUUUUAUUCUUCGUAGACAUGUGAAGUAAAGAUUCCCAAUUAUCCACUGCAUCAAUCUCUAUCCCAUCAAAAUGAAUUUGGUGCAAGAAAAAAAUAUCUAAUAUAUGUGAUUUACUCAUUAUGCAUAUUUAAGAUUGCUAAAGGAAAAUAUUUAGUUUAAUUUCACAUAUAAGCUAAUUCGAUAACACUUUUUAAUAUAAAACCAAAAAAAAAAAGAGUGCUAUCGUCAUCAACUUUAUUUGGUUUCAAUUUAUGACGUUUGACAUAUAAAUUCUGUUCAAUUUAAAUCAACUUUUCAAUAAAUAGUGAAUGUUAAUGAGCACAGUAGCGAGAACUAAGCAGUGUUAUGUGUACUUGGAACCAAGGUUGUUAAAAUCGUGUUUUGACUCGUAAAAUCGUACGAUUUUACGAGUCAAAACAUGUAUUACGGGUUGAAUCGCUUGAAAAAAUCAAAAAUAGCUAAAAUCGGGUUGAAAUCGAGUGAAAUCGCGAUUUCAGGACCGAUUUUGCGAUUUUGACAAAAUAAGGCCCUGAAACAAAAUCCUCCCUCCUGGAUAGCUGUCAUGCCUAUUGGAUUAUUCCUGCACAGUCUUACUCAUACACAACGUUUCAUGUCUUCCUUAGCUCUCGUGUCUAGCGUGAAUAGGAAGGUCCCCGUGUUGGUCAAGCAGGAAUGUCUGGAACUAGUUGCUAUGUGUAAUAAAAAAAACUUUGGCAGGAUAUGAACAGAAUGAAGAAUUACAAAGAUGAAAUCUCUCUCUCUCUCUCUCCCCUUCCUUCUUCUUAUCUCUUUCACCAUUCAUGCUGCAACCCUCCUGUUGAUUUCUGGAAAUGGUUCAGAACCAUUCCAUCGCAUUCAAUUCCCCUGGAUAUAUUUCUGGAAAUGUAAUUUUUAAUCUAUUAAUUUUUUUUAUAAAACAUAUUAACCGAAUAUUAUUUCAAUUUCACUCGAGUUUUAUGGUAGAAACUGGUGAAGUGUGUGUAUAACACCUGACAAUAUUUUAAGAUGCUUGAACUAUAUAUGAAUUUUUAUUUGAAGGCUUGAAAUAUGUAUGAAAUUUUAUUUGAAACAUGUUUUUUAAUGUGCUUGAACUAUGUAUGAAUUUUUAUUUGAAACAUGAAUUUUUUUUAAUGUAUUUCAAAAUUCCUUACGAUUUUACGAGCCGUUUUUACAAUCCGAUUUUGUGAAGGGCUUUCCGUUUCGUUCUAAAAUCGCGAUUUUAACAAUCUUACUUGGGACUGUGAAUAAUGUACACUUUAGCUCUCUUCAUACAGUCAAUUGACUUUGACACAGUAAAAAUGAAAAAAAAAUUACUCCGUCGAUUGGUGAUUAAACUACAAUACUAAAUAUACCAACUCUGUGGAUUUGUGAUUAAACUUGGAAAAAAACAACAAUACUAAAAAAAGCCAUAUGUGAAUUUGUGAUUAAGAAAAUUCAUUAUUUUAUUUUUUGACAUAUUAGGUUCCACUAGAUGCACCCAGUCAAUGUGAGUGGUUGUCUUUUUUAUUAUUUAUGAGGAUCCAAUUGAUGCAUCAAGUCUAGGGCUCCACAAUCACUGUCACUAGUCAAUUCCGCCAACUUGUUGCGUAAACUACUUUGCUUUCUCUUCAUAUAUAGACAUGGAAAUCAUGUGGAAUCAAAAAAUUUAUUCCUUAACCUUUUUCAUGGAAUGAAGUGAUUUCCCAGUAGCAUCAUCAUCCACUUGCACUUUUUUUUUCUUCGUAGACUUGAGAAGUCGGUCAAGAUUCCCAAUAUAUUAUCAACAUCAUCAAUUUAAAAAAGAAAUAUAUGUUAGGUUGAUUUAUAUGUUAGGCUGAUUUACUUCCAUAUUAAUUAUUGUUUGAAUAUUCUUAAUCCGAAUGAUAUUAGUCCAUUCAAAACAAAUUCAUUUUCUUUUUUUAUAAAUAUAUUUAUAUAACUACCAAAGAAGAAAAUGCAUUGAUUAAAAUAUUAUUAAUCUGUUUGAAUGAAGAAAGUUAAGGCAGAGAUGACCAACCUAAACACCGUGUGGGCCAAUAAAAUUGAAAACAAAAGAUAAUAUCAAUGGCUUGCAAAAAAAAAGGGUUUGUGUUAAAUUUAUCUAUAUGUUAAAUUACUUGAUUUACUAAACUUAAUCAUGUAAUAUUGAAUUAUUUGAUGAAAACAUUAUCUAAAACAUGAUUAAUUGACAUAUUUAAAGUCAAAUAAAAAACAAAUCCUGCUUACUUUUAAUAUUAAAAAUUAUUUUUUAAUCUAAACUCUUUAGCAUGAAAAUUUAACAAAAUUAAAAUAAAUUAUGAUUACUAUUUGAGCGAUUGAUUUGAUCUUCGGCCCCACAAUUAUUUUUGUUAGUCUGUGAAUGUUUUUCUUCAAGCUUGUGAAACUGGAUAUUCCUCUGUAAUGUAAGUUCCUUUGUUUUUUUUCUUCGUAGACUUGAAAAGUCAUUUGUUCGAACAUUUGAUUUUCUGAUAAGUCAAUCAUCCACUGCAUCAAUCUCUAUCCCAUUGUUAGUCUGUGAAUUUUCUAUGCUGAAUUAUCCAAGGGAGACUUGGGCUUCAUUGAAUGAGAGAGUCUUCACGGCACAGAUCGCUCGGUUUGUGGUGUUGGAUUAAAGGAUAUUCCAACUUCUUGUUUACUGCUUUGCUUUUCUCCGUAGACUUGGGAAGUCAAGAUUCCUAUAAUCCACAUCAUCAAAAAAACCCAAAUCGAUAAUGUGGUGUUGGAUUAAAGGAUAUUAAUUCCAACGUCUUGUUUACUGCUUUACUUUUCUUCAUAGACUUGGGAAGUCAGGUGCUGUAUAUGAACAAUUGAUUUGAUCUUAUGAAAUACAUGGCAGAAGAGAUUAGAAAAUGAUUAACAGAUAUAUACAUCUCAACCAUACCAAUAUCCAUAAAGAUUCAAUGUAAAGUUACUUGAAAUAUAAUUAACUUUAUGUGUUAACUAAAAGAAAAUUGAAAGCAUAGAACCUUGGUUCUUUAAGCCACCAACUAAUUGGUUGUCGCUUAAGUCGAGAAUCUCCAGUUCUUUGAAAGGCAGAAACAAAGACGCAUUGAGAUACAAGUCUUCGACUGCAUUGAGAACAUCAUAAUUUACGCUAUAAAGAUUUAGUUCGAUCACUCGGUUUGUGGUGUUGUCACACACAACCAAAUCCCAGUUACAGCAAUUAAAAUGCUCUUUAUCCCAACCUUCUAGCUGAUGGGACCCAGGUGCACCUGCAUGAUUGAACCAAGCUUUUAUCUCUAAGAGACUAACUCUCUCUUCCUCCACACAACAAUGGCUCCGGUCGUUGACGAAGGACAGUGCCAUGAGCAGCAUCCACACCCACAUUUGCCUCAUCUUCAUAUUAACGCUCCUACUUGACAAAAUACAAAAGCAAGCAAGCUAUCUCUUAUAUACAAUUUUGUCCUCUUCAUGCAUUUGAUCGGACAGUGACAAUUAUCUGUAUCAUUGAAUUUUCUAUGCUGAAUUAAUUAUCCAAGGGAGACGUGGGCUUCAUUGAAUGAGAGAGUCUUCACGGCACAGAUCGCUCGGUUUGUGGUGUUGGAUUAAAGGAUAUUCCAACUUCUUGUUUACUGCUUUGCUUUUCUCCAUAGACUUGGGAAGUCAAGAUUCCUAUAAUCCACAUCAUCAAAAUGAAUGUGAUCGAAGAAAGGAAAAAAUGAAAAAAAAAAAAAAACAUUAACAGUGGCUUACAAAAAAUAAAUAAAUAAAUAAAACCAUCAAUUACGAGCUUCAUAAGAUAAUUUUAGCUUAAAAAAACCCAAAUCGAUAAUGUUUUCUUUAACAUUGGUAUCCGUUUAAUCAAUCUUCUGGUUUGAUCCUUGAUAGUGCUGUGUUUUGAUGCUUGUCGAUUAGCCACAAUAAUGUUAAAUUUACAAGGACAGAUCCAAGAAAAGCAAUGCAGGCCUGUUUUGGUCUCUGGGAGUCCCCUGAUAAAGGCUGCAACUAUUGCUUGAACCCUUGUAAAGGGGCCUUUACACAUGCGGUCCACUGAGAAGUACAACACCGUUCUUUAUUUAAUUCUUAUGGUUUAAAUCUACUAAUAACUUAGUCAUUUUGCAUGCUAUUUUUCCACUUGUUUUGUAAAAUAGAGAAAAGAACUGUUAAGCAUGCUGGAUAUUUCGCAUAAUAAGCUCCGGGUCCUUUAUCCUCUUGUUUGUCCAAUUUAACUUUCAUGGCAAACGAUGCAAAAUGCUAUGUAUCUUUUACUUGGCCUAGUAUUCAAUAUUUUGAUCAGUCAAAUCUUGUACUCAUGGGUUUGCCUCAAGUAGGCGAUUCUUAUCGGGAAAAUAAGUACACAAACAACAUUGCAGAUUAAUCUGUCGAGUUCUCAACAAAAAGACAGUCAUACUCCUAUCGAGAUGUGACGCGGAACAAUAAGUAAAAAGAAUUAAAGCAAGAAAAGAAAGAAGCUUUAAAGAAGAAAGAAGCUAAAGAAGAGGAGGAGAGGGGUUGGAGAUGUGCAAAUCUGCAAUUUUCAUUCAUUCAAAAAAUGUCUUCCCAAAUGACAAAGAGCAUAUAAAUAGUCUCAACCUAGAACAUCCUGCUAUUGGGCUUGGCCCAUCAAACCAAAUUGUUUAACAUAAAUAAUAAAAAUAACAAUGAGCAAGCCCAAAUGGGCUAAAUAAAUAAAAUUACAAUGAGAUAGGCCCAAUGGGCUUAGUCUCCCAACCAAAGCGUGACAGGCUGGGCCAUCCUACGUCGUCUCCGUCCAUAUACUCGUGUAAUCUGUGGCGUGGGCCUGGUGUCCUCACCAACUCUCCUGGGGUUAGAGAAACUCGACCUUGUCGAGCGUAGCAGUGGCCGACUCUGAUAGUACUCCCAAAGAUCUGGGUCAAGCUGCUGCAAAGUAUCUCUAGUAAUCCAAGUGCAGUCUGAGUCGGGUCGACCCACCCAGCGAACUAGAAACCGCUGAAUCUCACCAUUCCUAUUAAAAACAACUUGUUCAUCCAGAAUAGCAUCAAUAUUAUCCUUUUGUGCUGAUGUCAAAGUAAAAAGGGAUAGGGGUUUAUUAGGAUCAUCAGGAGGGGGUUAAGUGGUGUUCAAUGGGUCAUUUGGAAUAGGAAGUGGUUUGUGGUAUGCAACUAGAUCCUCAAUGUUAAAUGUAGAGCUAAUGCCAAAAUCAUGUGGUAAAUCAAGAACAUAAGCAUUUGGACCAACCCGUUGUAGCACUUUGAAAGGCCCGCACUACGUGCAUGCAAUUUUCGAUUAGCUCCCGAAGGAAACCGUUCGGGUCUAAUCCGUUAUCAUAGUCUCCAACAUUAAACUCAUUAUGUCGUCUAUGUGCAUCAGCUUGAAGUUUAUAUUGCGCAUUACUUGCUUGAAUUUGUUUAGUGAUCUCAAUAUGCAAAUCCUGAAUUCUACGUGCAAAAGACUCGGCUGACUCAGACACUCUAGCAUGAAGGGACAUGGGAAGAAGAUCUAAAGGUUUCCUAGGCUUGUAACCAUGUACAACUUCAAAGGGACUCAUGCCUAUUGACCUAUUGAUGAGCUAUUAUAGGCAAACUGGGCUAGGAAGAAUCAGAUCCCAAUUCCGAUUAUGAUCACUCACUAGACACCUUAAAAGGUUACCCAAACUCCUGUUAACCACCUCAGUUUGACCAUCAGUUUGGGGUGGUAAGCAGUAGAAAACUUCAAUUUGGUUCCCACCAUAUGCCAAAGGGUUUUCCAGAAAUAACUUGUAAAUCUAACAUCCCUAUCUGAAACUAUGGUUUGGGGAAGGCCGUACAACUUGACAAUCUCGUCAAAAUAGAGUUUUGCGACUCUGGAAGCAUCUGUGGUCUUAGUACAAGGAAUAAAAUGGGCCAUCUUAGAGAAGCGGUCGACAACCACAAAAAUAGAAUCAUGUUUCUUUGCAGUACGUGGAAGCCCAAGCACAAAAUCCAUGCUUACAUCUUGCCAAGGGCAAGUAGGCACGGGUAAUGGAGUGUAAAGACCAGUAUUUUGUUUUCUAUGCUUAGCGAGUUGGCAAGUUCGACACUGACCUACUAAUUUGGCGACAUCUCUUUUCAAACUAGACCAAAAAAACUGACGUUCCACUUCUUCGAUGGUUUUAUUCCUUCCAAAAUGUCCUGAGAGACCUCCAACAUGAAUCUCCCAUAUCAAAAAAUCACGCACAGAUGUUUUCAGGAUACAAAGCUUAUUAUCUCGAAAUAGGUAUCCAUCUUGGAGGUGAUAACCAUUUAUAACACGGUGAUGCGCAUCCUUCAAUGUCAAGUAUAUUUCUCCAAAUUCUAGGCAAGAUUCAUACUCCUCCUUAAGUCUCUCAAAUCCUGUGACUCCAACACUCAUUACAGAUAACAACGUCACCCGACGACUCAAAGCAUCUGCAGCCUUAUUCUCUAUUCCAGAUUUAUGUUUCAAAACAAAUGAGUAUGCUUGCAAAUAUUCAACCCAAUGACCAUGCCUAUUGUCGCACCCUAAAAAAAAUCAGCUCGCGGCAUCGGCUGGCGAUUUUUCUCGUUUGUUUGUCGUUGCUUGAAUUUGGUUCGUUGGAGUCGCCACCUAGUAAUUGAUUGCGGGCUACUAGGAAACCGGCUGUACUGGUCUUGUCAGAGAUUCGUGGGUACGGGACUGGUUGUGGUUAGGGAAGGUAUUAGCACCCCUAACACACCCUACCUGAGGUAAGCUGCUUCGCGAAUUUGAUGUAUUAAAGAAGUUUUAAUAAUUGUCUUUUCAUCAGAAAUUAGAAAUAUCACUUACGUAUAAGUUAAUAAUUCUUAACCAAGAUCCGAUCAAAAUAUUAAAUUCUUCUUUAAUAUAUUUGCAAUUUUAUCAUUAAAAAAUAUAUACAAAUAAAUAAAAACAAAAUACAAACACACACGUACACUUCCACUAUUUUUGUUUCUUUUCUUUUUUUCUUUUCUUUUCUUUUACAUCCAUAUUUACAAAACAAAUAGACAAUCCAAAAAAAAAUAAAAAAAAAAUACAUCAAACAAUUUAAAAUUACAAAACAGCCCCUAAAACAUCCUAAGGCUUCUAGAACAUGCAGGAACAGUGCACGAGAACAGUGCUGGGAGGCUUCUGGUGCAGAGAAUCAGUUGAUGCUUGCCAUUUGUUCUCAGUUAUACUAAGAAAGAAUGAACCGCGACUCUGUCCACCAUUCUCUCCUGUGCAUGAACAAAUCAGUGAAGGAAUAUUUGCAGUGAUAAAUAUGUUAAUGGUUUCCUGACUUCAUUAGAAUAUUUUGCUCCCAUUUUCUUUGCUCCAUGAACUGAAUAUAUAUUGCAACAUAAUUGUGGUGUUGUCAAUCACGGCAAUUAUGCACAUAAAUCCUUACUGGCGCCGCAGGUGGUUUUACUUCAUUGAAGAAUCGCAACUAUUAUGCUGCUGUUUUCUAGCGGUUAGUUUCCGUAAGCUGUCCAACAUCAUGUCAUCGAACCUCUGUAUAAUCAUUCAAUUAGAUGACACAUUUAAAAAUUUUAAAAACUAAUAAUACUAUAACUAUGAAGAACACCUAAAAUAUUUAAUUUUAUUCUUCCAAGUCUCUGCUAAACUAAUUAUACACAAUUGUGGUACUAGCAAUUGCGGCAGUUUUGUACAUAAACCCAUAUUGGCGACAUAGGUGGUUUUACUUCAUAGAAGAGUGCAUGGAGACUUGCUACUACUUUGAAUUGCAUACAUUUCAUAAGCUAUCCUCCUUCAUAAGGCCAUAGGGUCUGACGCGUGCCUUUUGUUUUUUCAUAUUUUUUAGUUUGAACUAAUAAAACCUUUACUUUUUUUCAAGCUUCAGUUAAUUUUAUUGCAGUUUCUCAAAUGAAUUCUACAAAUUCAAGAUAUAUAUGCAUCCUUAAUGCCAUAUUAAAGAGAAUAUAUAGAUAGGAAGAAGAGGAGCUUUACGUGAUAUGGAUAGCGAGAUGCUCCUAAGCCUAGAACCAGCUAAAACUUAAUAUUAUGAUGAAUAAUUCAGCAAAACUUAAUUCAAUUUCAACUUCCAUUCUCAUCAUUAGUACAAAAUGCAGAGUCAGAUUGAAAGGAAAAUGAUUGGAACUUGAAAUUCAGGUAACAAUACAUCUAGCAGAGCUUCCUCCUUACCCUCUCCCUAUUGUAUCUUCUUCGAGUGGAACUCUUAGCUUUUUGCCCUCCAAGAUAAAUGUUCUCAUCUUUCUCCAGUACUCUCUGAUAACUCAGAGAGCAGCCGCCCUGUAUAUUCCCUUUUUUUUUUAUUAUUAUUCAAAACGUUAUAGAGAAGUUCUUUUACAGAGAAACCCUUUUUAAGAUAACCAUCUAGAUAAAUAACAUUAAUCCCAUAUAUAUCAGGAUAUAUACAAUUACAAAAUAUUAAAAUAUAAUUUUUAUUUUAAAUUUUACAGCUCACGCUAACAUUAAUUCCUAAACAGUACAGCUCACGCUAACACUCUCUUUUCCAUCCAGCAUAAGCAGUCACAACUUACCUCCACGGAAAACUUUAUAGCCAACUUCAACCAAUAUUUAAAAGGAAUUUUGUCCUAUGUUUGAUAAGCAAAAUCAACAGAACCUGUCGUUGACUUUCUAGCUCAAAUUUAGCAGUAGCCAUUUUAAGGAGCAGAAACAAACACUGUACUUUUAUCAUCACGAAAAUCUGGUUGAUUUAUUAUCACGAAAAUCGAAAAUCUAGUUGAUUUAUCAUUACGAAAAUCUAGUUAAAACAAAUUAAUAUGAAAUCAAAUCGAGGAUGAAAGGUUGAUUUUGAGAUCAAGAAUAGCAUGUAUUAAAAAGAUAAUAAAUAAAAUUAGAGUAAUAACAUUGAUACAACUUAUCAUUAAAUUUCAUUUGCAAUUUCCUCUCGAUUUUCUGUAGUUCUGUAGAGACAUAGAUUAGUUGGUUCUUACGGGAAUUUUUCUUCCUUAAUUUCACUCCCAUUUCCCAAACGAUGGAAUUCAUACAACCUUUCGAUUUUAUUUCCACGUAAAAUCCAUUCUUCUCUAUCAAACAGAACAUAAUAAUGGGCCAUAUUUUAAUUUAAAUAUAUUUUUCCUAAUAUUUAAAGUUUUUUUACUGGGAAAAUAUCAUGGGGAUUUGAGAGAAAAGACAAUAGAUAAGAAAGGACAAGAAAAAAAGUGAGAGAAAAUGAUGGUGGGUCUUCAUUCUUCAGGGACCGUAUUGGAACUCUUUGGAGGCAUGCGUGAGAGGUGAAAUGGGAAAGUAUAGGGAACAAAGUGUAAUGUCAAUGAAUAUAUAGGGCUUAAAAUGCAAUUUACCCUUAAUUUUUUCGUGGAUGACGCAGUCACAAGGAGAGGAUAGAUGUCAUUUCUGAAAUGAUAAGACAGAAGUGACAAUAAGUAAAAUUUCGUAAAUCAUCAUCAAUCAAAAAUCAUGACGUGGGGACAAAUCACAUAAUUGAUUGAUUUUACAACCCUUUAAAACAAACUCAUCAAAAUAUUUAAUCCAAAUUCUGAAUAAACAACAAUAUCUAAUGUAGAUAGGUUUGAAUAAUUUGAUGAUUAUUAAUAGUCAAUUGUAGAUUUAUCACAAUUAGAUCAUAUAUAUAAAACCCAAUAAACUCAUAAUACGAACAAAUAUAACUGGGCUAACUUAAGAAAAAAAUACAUUGGUGCAAAAUGACUAGUCUAACUAAAAAAGUUUAAAUUUUAAUUUGACCUCAUGGAAAUCAUUCUCAAAUUUAAUUAGGAGAUUUUAUGGUUUCUAUUCUAUAAAGGGUGUGUGUAGGCUUGAAAGAAGUUAUGCGUGCCAAUUUCGUUAUUUUUUUAAUCUUUUUACAAUUCUAGUUUAAUUUUGGAUUUUAUAUUGUAAGAACCUAUAUCAUAUCAAGAUUAAAUUUCAGUAAAAAAAAAUAUUAGAAUUCUAGUUGUGGAGAGUUUUUUUAUAUAUAGAAUUACGUUUUUCUUUGAGCUUGUUUUUUUCUUAACCGGAUCAACUACAUCAAUCUCCUAAAAAAACGAAAAAAAAAAAAGUUGGGAAUGAAAACUUAAGUGAAAUUUAACAGUCUGCAACAACAAUCCUUUACCGUCCACCAUGAAAUGAUCAACAGGUUUUUUUUAAGGACAAUAUAAAUUCUGAAAGAGCGUAGACAUGAAUGACAGCCAAGAACCACCCAACAGCCAUGCAGGGUCUAGUCUGCAUGGCAAAGGUCCCCUCAAUCGCUGAAUCCACAUGAACACAGUCUAAUGAACUGCUAACAUGCAUUUGGUUGUGGUAAUUCAAUUAUGCGAAGGGUGUCGGUCCGAAUUCUUCAACUUAAACGAACAUGUUUGCGUAAUUAAGUGUUCAAUCACGUACUUAAUUUGCUAUUGAAAACAUUUAGAAUUUAUCAACAAUUUAAUUAAGCAGGUGUAUACAACCUCCCAACAUUUGUAGAUAUCAUUGAAUCAUUAGUUAACACCAAGUAGACUGAGAUCGGAUCAAAAUGUGUCACUUAAGCUCUUAAUAUUACAGAAAACUUACAAUUGCCCUGAUGGUUAAUUAGCACAAAAGACCGGCUUGGAGUUCAGACUAGCCAAAUUGCCCAACUCUUUAAGCCUGAAUUUUAUCACCAUCAUAAAAUGGGAAAAUUAGUUUAGAUAUACAAGGCGAAAUGGAAUUAAUUACCUAACAAUUUGAACUUCAGAUUGGUCAUGCAUGACCACUUGCAGGUCCUCCUAGUGUUAGAACCACACCUUGAAGAUCACUUCUUGGAUCUGAUUCUUUGGCUAAUGAUGGAGCAGCUCUGAUUACCGGAUAUGUUCUGGUCACUUGAGUUUGUCGAGAACUAUGACUGGAUUGUCCUGAGAAUGUUUUUGGAUGAUGAGAAGGCUUCAAGGUAUCAGUAUGAAAUUCAUUCGAAGCACCACCCAGAAACCAGUGCUCAAAAAGCCCCUUUAUAAAGAUAACUAACAGAGAAGGUCACAGACAGCAGAGGAGGUCAGCAUCACCAUCGAUUUCCUUUCUCCAGAAGCAGGGGUUUACCACCACAUCAACACCCAUCUUCCCCGAUCUCUUCAUCUCCUUUAGCACUGAAGAGAAACCGAACGGUGGAGCAGAGAACACAGACAGCAGAGGAGGUCAGCAUCACCAUCGAUUUCCUUUCUCCAGAAGCAGGGGUCUACCGCCACAUCAACACCCAUCUUCCCCGAUCUCUUCAUCUCCUUUAGCUCUGAAGCUUCCUCCAGCAGUGGCCAACACACGGCAGCCCCUACAAAACCAAAAUGAGAUAAAUCUCAAAGAGAAAGAAAGACUCGAACUUGUGUAGCAGAUCUGGACCGAGAUCCAGCCGCCAUCAGCUCUGGCGAUGCCUAACAACCAGAUGUGCUACAGGGAUGAACUCUCGGGCAACAAACAGUGAUAGACUCGAAAGAAGCCAAUCUAAAGGAGGAGAAGGAAAAAAACGCAGAUCUGUGAAAAAAAGACAAUAAUCGAAACUCAAUUAAGAAGAAAUCAUCGCACAAACAAUCUCCCGGACCGGUUGUUGAUUUGGAUCCUUUCCCAAUUGAGGAUGGAAGACUACGGGAAAGAGGAGAUUGGUUGGGGUGGGGAUUGAAGCUGUGAUUUGGGAUCGGUUCAGUUUAUCAAGCAGACUUCAAGAGGUAAGACCCUAUACAAUAACAGUAACAACAAAGAGAACUUUUCAACCCAGCCAUGGAGGGGAAAGCUCUCUCUCAAAAAGCCCAGCCACCGUUCCAGACAAACUUAAUUCCUUCUCACAAACACAAAAAAGAACUUGACCUUCCAUACAAGCCAUAUUACCCCCAGCCUCAGCUACCAUCCAUCACCUUAAACACUCAGACUUCAACAAACUACCGUGAUUUUCAACUACAAUGUUACUUUGAAAACUUCCUAAGUUGGGUCGAUUACCAUAAGCUUAAAGACUGCUUCAGAAAACAGGGGAAAGUUAUUAAGCUGUUUGUUUCUCGAAAAACAAAUCAAGCAGGAAAGCAUUUUGGCUUCGUCACCAUCCUCUCGAAUCUGUCAGACAAAACUCUGCUAGAAUGCUUAAAUGACAUAUGGUUUGAUUCCUACAAGCUGAGAGUUAAUGUGGCUAAGCACAGAAGAAAAGAUGUAGUGACGAAACAGAAAAUAAUGGGAACCGGGAAACAAAUACCCAAGCUCAACAACAAAGCCAAGGCCCCCAUCCGUGUAAGAGACAACCGAAGCUAUCUUGAGGCAGUAAGAUCAGGGAGUCAAGUGCAUCAAGCGUCUGAUAAUGCCACACCACGUCAUCAUAACUUCAUUUCUUUCAACACUACAGAUGAGGAAAUUCUAUGGUUAAGAAAUAGUCUUAUAGGCAAGAUAUCUCAGGGAGUAGAUUAUGCACAAAUCAGACAUGGAUUAAUUCAGCUAGGCAUUUGCUUCUCUGCUUUCCGUUUCCUAGGGGGAUCACAGGCAAUCAUAAGCUUUGAUGGUGAGAAAUCUAUGCAACAAGCCAUGCAGAAAGGUAUGGAAUGCUGGAGGCUCUACUUUGAUGAAGUUCACCCGUGGACUGAAGAAGAUGUGACAGAGAGUCGUCUAGCAUGGAUCUCUAUCUCUCAUUUGCCUAUCUCUGGCUGGAGUUUGAGAUGUAUCUCAAACCUUCUCAUGAACCGUGGACGGGUGAUAGGUUUUGACAAAACCAGCCUAAAAAUCUCUGAACUUCACAGUGUGAAAAUCCUUAUAGGUACUCACUUGCCGGAGAUCCACGACUCUAUAGCUCUCAUGCUAAACUCCAAGUUAGUACACAUAUAGCUGGAUGAGAUUGACCUUUUAAGAUAUCCAGAGGCAAAAGGAAUUUCAUACUCGAUGGCAGAAUUUCAAACCACAUUACUUCAGGGAGAUAGUGCUGACAGUGACUCAGAUGAUGAAGUGUACACUGAUCUUGCUUUUGACUUGGCAGGAGAUGACAACAUUUGCAGGCUAGGUAUCACUGAUAAGAAUUGUGGAUCUGAUGACAAGGGACACACGAUGGAGGUAAGGAAGCACAACCCAUAUGGGACACAUGAGGUGUACGAUCAUAGCUUUGCGUCCACAAUAAAUGCCAUUGACAACACAGAACGGCUACAUAUCGUUGUUGACGAUCUCUUUUACGAUGUGAAUUCAGCAAGCCCACUAGAGCAUCCAAGCAUGGCUUUCAAAAGAGACUCCUUCUUGCCACAACCUUAUACCCCUGUUAGCAGUGAUGAUUCUUUAGAAUCCCACUUCAAAAUCCAAAGCCUACCUCUUACAUCUAACCAACAACAGACCCCAACAGCCAAACAACCAAGACUAAAGAAAAUAUCCUCUACUAGGAGUCUCCUCUCCUUGCACUCUUCAGCAAGCAUGUCUUCUAUAGACUCUUACAUCAGGGUGAAUAAUACCCGUAACCUGAAAGAAUAUGCAGCGGAAUCGUCCCACAAUGAAGUCAACAAAAUGAUCCGUUUGGGAGAAGCUUUGGGUCUUGGUAAUUCAGCUCUCUUGGAACAAUUUUCUGGUCUUAUCAUAAGACAGCUAGAAAAGGAGAAGGAAGAUUGGCAGAAACAACAAUGAAUAGUAAGUUUUCAUCCCCUGCAGAUAGGCCUUUUAAUUCUGUCAUGAAUAUUCUUUCUUGGAAUUCCUGUGGCUUGGGCAUGAUGAGGAAACGAAGAAGAAUCACGAAAUUAAUAGCAGAAUAUAAGAUUGAUAUAUGUUUCAUGCUGGAAACUAAGCUAGCUAAUUGUUCCAUUGGUUUUGUAUCUCGUAUUUGGAAUGAAAAUCAUGUGAGUUGGUUUAGUAAUGAUGCUCAAGGAUCAAAAGGAGGUCUGCUUGCUAUGUGGAAAAACACUAACUUUGAAGUCUCUAAUAUUGAAUAUGGUCAUGGUUGGAUCGGUUUAUAUGGUAAACAUGUUCACAGUGAUUUUCAUUGCUUUGUUAUUGGCAUCUAUGCUCCUUGUAACUAUCAGGACAGACAAAAACUUUGGGAGGAUCUCAUUCUUCUGAAGCAUGCUUUUGAAGUUCCAUGGAUAAUAGCAGGAGAUUUUAAUGAAACGCUCUCUCAGAAAGACAGAAACAGUGGAAUUUGUCAUCCUGCAGGCUCAAAUUCUUUUAGCAGAUUCCUGCAGUCUUGUGAGCUCACUGAAUACCCUUUAGCAGAAGGUUAUUUUACCUGGUUUAGAGGAAGGUCCAAGAGCAAACUAGAUCGAAUGUUCGCAAGCUCAACCUACCAUCUUCACUUCCCCAGUUUAUCUCUUCGACGACUUCCAAGAGAGUUCUCAGAUCAUUGCCCUCUAAUUCUAUGUAGCUUCUUGCAAGACCAUGGAUGGCGUCCUUUUCGUUUCUUGGACUGUUGGACUCAAUACCCAAAUUUCAAGCACAUUAUUGAAAGCUUCUGGAAUGAUGCAUGCUCCCUUCACCCUGGCCGCUUUAAAUUUCUCAAAAAGCUUAAUCAUAUUGCAGUCAAAUUGAGGCAAUGGAAUAAGCUUGUAUUUGGAAAUCAAGAAGCUGGCCUUCAACGAACCCUUUCAGCUAUCAACAUACUAGAGGAAAAAUGUGAAGAAGAAGGUUUAACCGACCAAGAGCAGGAGCAUUUAGACUUUUUGUUGAAAGACCGCUGGGUUCGCAACAAUCACAUUGAAUCUAUUUGGAGGCAGAAAUCAAGACAGAUGUGGUGCAAAUUGGGUGACAGAAAUAACAAGUUUUUUCACAUGAUUGCCAAUUUCAGGAAGGCUAAAUCAUCAAUACUUAAAAUCCACCAUAAUGGCAACACUUUUGACUCUCAGCAGGGAAUUAAGCAGGCUGCUGUGGAUUAUUUCUCUGAGCUGUAUGACUCUCCCUCUGGUAAAAAGCCGCAGUUAAAUCCUUUGGGUUUCAAAUGUCUCUCUAAAGAAUCCUCUGAAUGGUUGGAGCAAGAAAUCACAAUGGAAGAAGUGAAGCGCGGUGUAUGGGGUUGUGAUGGGUCAAAAUGUCCUGGACCAGAUGGUUUCAACUUCAAAUUCUACAGAUUAGCAUGGGAUUUUAUUGCUCAAGACAUUCUCGAUAUAGUCUUAAGCUUCUUCAGAACAGGAAGGCUUCCCAAAGGAAUCAAUACAACCUACGUAACUCUCCUCUCUAAGACAGUCGAACCCAUUGAGUUUAAAGAUUUUCGGCCCAUCAGCAUGAUUCAUGGUAUUUAUAAGAUCAUUGCUAAAAUCCUUGCUUCUAGACUGAAAGUUGUUAUGCAAGAUAUCAUUAGCAUUAACCAAUCAACGUUUAUAGCAGACCGUAACAUUAUAGAUGGCUUUAUGAUUGCAAAUGAGCUGGUGAAUGAUCUAAAAAAGCAAAAAGCGGCAGGUUUGAUUUUCAAGAUUGAUUUUCAUAAAGCUUUCGACUCAGUCUCCUGGGAUUACCUAGAUGAUAUCAUGGGUUAUAUGGGGUUUGGUAGAAAAUGGAGAACCAUGAUUUAUGAAUGUCUUUCUUCAUCAAAACUCUCGGUUUUCAUCAAUGGAUCUCUUUCAAAAGAAUUCUCUGUUCGGCGAGGGCUGCGUCAAGGAGAUCCGAUUUCCCCUUUUCUGUUUGACAUAGCUGCUGAGGGCCUCUCUGUACUCUUUCAAAGGGCAUCUAGUGGGAAUAUUAUCAAAGGGCUGCAAUUUGCAUUAGGAAUUUUUGUCAGCCAUCUUCAAUAUGCAGAUGACACAUUAAUAUUCAUCCCAGCAGAUAUUGAUCAGUUAGUUCAAGUCAAAAGAAUUUUAAGAUGGUUUGCUCUGUCUUCAGGCCUUCAUAUAAACUUCCAUAAAAGAUCCAUUAUUGGUAUCAAUGUCGAUGAUCACUUGUGCUUGCGCUUGGCUACAUCUAUUUUCUGCAGAUCAGACUCCCUCCCAAGCAAAUAUCUUGGCAUGCCAUUAGGAGCCAAUCCAUCUCGUAUCUCCACAUGGAAGCCAGUGAUAGAGAAGUUUCGUAAAAGGCUUCAUAUAUGGAAGGGGAGACUACUAAGCAUGGCUGGUCGUCUAUGUCUCAUUAAAAGUGUCCUUAAUUCCCUGCCUAUAUAUUUUAUGUCUGUAUUCAAGAUGCCAAAAGGGGUAGGCAGGCUUCUUUCAUCCAUCCAAAGACGUUUCUUGUGGUGUGGAUGUACCAAGCAAAGAUCUUUCUGCAAGAUCCAAUGGAGAAUAGUGAUGCGCGAUAAGAAACAAGGAGGCCUCGGUGUAGGCUCCCUUAUAUCAAAAAACAGAGCCCUGCUUCUAAAAUGGAUUUGGAGACUCUCUUCCCCAGGUACAAGCUUAUGGAAAAUGAUUAUCUCUUCAAUGUACAAUCCAUCUUAUGAGAAUGGGAUCCCAAUUUUCUACAACCAACCAUCCAAGAUAUGGAAGGAUAUUAUGUCCAUCGUUCAAACCGACGUUCACCAAGUCUUCACGAAUCAUUGCAAAUUCAUGGUGGGGAAUGGCAAUUUAACAUCCUUUUGGCUAGACAGCUGGAUUGGUGACGACCCUCUCAAAACAGCCUUCCCAAGGCUAUAUCUUUUGUCUUCCUCUAAAACUGCUUUGGUGGCUGACAUGGGUAGAUGGAGCAAUGGAAUCUGGCUCUGGUCCCUACAAUGGCGCAGACCUCUUUUUCAUUUUGAACAAGAACAACUAUCACUUUUAUCAUCCUUGCUGGAAUCCAAGCCAAUGUUCUGCCACAAGAUGGAUAAGAAAAUCUGGACCCUCAACAACGAUGGCCUCUUCAGUGUAAAAUCUUGCUCCAAAAUGAUGGACCAGUUACUCUACGGUGGAGCCAAACCAUUCCAAUCUUCUGUUUGGAUAAAACUAACCCCACCAAAAGUGCAGCUUUUCCUUUGGCUCCUUGUCCAAGACAAAGUAACCACAAGAGAUUUCCUAUUUCAACGCGACUACCUCUCCCUUCAGGAGUCAAGAUGUGCUUUCUGCAAUAAAAGCUUGGAAUCUUCAAGUCACCUCUUCAUUCACUGCCACUUCUCUUGGAAUAUAUGGAUGAAACUGUUUUCUAAUCGGGGCUUUUGCAGUGUUUUUCCAAAAUCUGUUGAUGAUAUGUGCUACCAAUGGUCUUCUAUGGUUAAAGGCAAGCAACAAAAUCUCUCAUGGCAACUUCUUUUCUCAUGCGUUGUUUGGAAUCUUUGGCUUCAUCGAAAUGAUGUUAUUUUUAAUGACGCUGCCCCUAACCAUCAAAUCUGUUUCUCCAUGGUGCGCCAAAGUAUUGCUUUAUGGUUGAGGCUUGACUCCAACUCUUUCGAGCUUAACAUAGAGAAUGUUUAGUCGGGAGGAGUUGGUUUCUUUUGAUUUGUCUGUUCUCCUUUUGUUGUUAUCCCCUGUUUCAUGAAACAGUUUUUGUGCUUCCCUUUCCUCUGCUUGUUCUUCUGAUGUAAGUUAGGCUACUAUCUUUGUAGCUUUUUCCUUUUAAUAAAAUUUCGACUAUUAACAAAAAAAAAAAAAAAAGGUAUCAGUAUGAUUGGAGUUUGGAAAUUGAUGAACAAUGGGGAUUGGAGUUGCUGGUGAUGCAUGAUUUUGAGCUAGAAUUGCCCCUCUCGAUACGAAACCAGGUGCCUGAUAGAUAAAAUUAGGUUUCAAUACGAGUUCGAAAUAUACUGCAAAUGAGGGAAGUAAUGAGGAGCUUACAGGUGAAAACAAGACCCCUCUGAAAAUCUUCCCAUUAACAGUUGCAGUCAUUAGAAGGCCUAAGUCGAAGGCUCCGUCAACUUUACCUCGAACUUCAGCACCAACCUAUGGAGAAAGAGAAGAAAGUGAAAAGCAAGUAUUAGCAGAACAGGAAGGAAGACAGACAAAAAAAUUUGUAAUUGACAAUGUUUUGCAUUGCAUAUAUCAACUUAAUGAUUUACCAGGUUUUGAGUACACCCUGGCUCCAUGGAUCUAUGUUCCACUGCUGGGAAUGGUGUUCCUUGCCUGCCAAACCCUGCAUGAACAUAUUGUUCUACUCUUUUAUUCUCUUGAAACUUGGAGCCUGUGCCGGGUUUUUUGGAUCACAAGUCUAGGUAGUUUCUGAUUACAUGCAACACUAUCAGCCUGGUAAUUUCUUGGAAUUUUGUAUAAUUAAAUAAUCUAAUCUUAAACCACUACUCCAAUUGUUGAUAUAAAAGUUUAAAACCGAUCUAAUUAAAAGAAUUCAAAAUUAAGUGUGAAAAAUAACUAAAAUAAAAAAUUAAUUCAAAUAACAAAAACAAAAUCUUUUGCAUCUGAUUUGAGAAAAUUUAUGUGGUGGAUGACCGAGCCUGUAAAAUUAUAUGAUAAAAUUUAAGUAUAAUUUAAAAAUUAAAUUUAAAAUUAUUUUUAUCAGGUUUUAUGUCUAAUGUGUUGAAUUUGUUUAUGGAUUUCUAUUCAGGCUUAAUCAUAAACGUCUUUGUUUACACGUCAUAAUUAAAGCAUAAAAUGUCGUGUAAGCCGAUGCUUGACUUUUUUAAAAAAUAAUUUAGUUUCGGUUGACUCACAAAAUUGAGACAUCUAGCUAGUCACUCAUGGCUUUAGACGUACCUCUUGUAAAGAUAUCAACGGCUUUACGUCUACCAAGUGUCAGAAGAUUAGAGAUUGAUAUUGUUAGAAUGUUGUUAAUAUUGUUUGUUAGCUAAGAGAGUUUGUUAGUAUUGUUUCAGUGCUAAGAGAAAGAACAGAUACCGUGUAUUACCUUUCUAAUAUAGCCUAUAUAAACUGAGGAUUAGUGAUGUGAAAAUAAUGAAAGAAAAAGUAAUAAUAAAACAGUGCGAGACUUCAUCUUCUGCUUCUCUGUAACAGAAUUAUUCUAUAUUCUUCUUCCUUUCUAUUCUCUGCACUUUCUUCAUUUCUGCUCCUUUUCUGUAUAAAUUCUACCGUCUAUCAUGGUAUCAGAGCAGUAACUGGUCCGAUGGGAUGUCUUCUGAUUGUCAAGAAUUAUACUGGCGAUCGUCUAAAUUUUGGUUUGGCUGCUAAGCAAGCAAAAUCUGAAGGUUAUAAAGUAGAGACUGUAAUUGUUGGAGAUGACUGUGCUUUACCUUCACCUCGAGGCAUAGCUGGACGAAGAGGGUUGACGGGGACUAUUCUUGUUCAUAAGGUUGCUGCAGCUGCAGUUACUGUUGGCCUUUCUCUUGAUGAAGUUGCUGCAGAAGCGAAACGUGCAUCUGAAAUGGUUCUAAUAUCUUGCUAAUCUCUGUUUCUGUAGAGAGAGCAAUACGGUCUCUUAAGAUUCAUACUUCUCAACAAGCUUGCACAAAGAGUCACUAAAUUGCUUUUGGCCACUUGCCAGAGCAAGUACGAUAGUCUUCUCCAUCAAAUCCUGAAGAAGAUCAAUAUAUAACAAAGAGUCGCCGCCAAUGUAUUACCAGCAGCCAUUAAUCUCUGUUUCUGGCAUUAUUAUCUCCUUAUCUACACAAUUCUUUCAUAAUAAUCGAUAUGUCUAUCAUUUGUUUGAUAUAUUGUCAAACUGAAAAAUUCUUCUUCAAAUCUUCAACUUUCUGCAAGAUUCUUCCUUCUCAAUCUUUGAUUCUCUUCUUUUCUAUCUCUUGCACUCUAAAAAUGGCGACUACUUCUCAACUUCAGAUAGUUCAACUCUAAUAAGAGAAUAUACACAUAAACGUUUUCUUCUUCCUCUACACUACAUAAUUUCUCUCUGCUUCUCUUCAUCUCUAUUCUCUGCUUUUCUUCUCUUCAUCUAUAUUGCUUCUAUUCUCUGCUUUUCUAUUGCAGUAUCUCCCUCUAAUUCUAUUCACUUCUUUGUUCAUCUCUGUGACGAUUCUUGCUAGCUUUUCAAAAUAUUUCUUCUAUCUCCAUUGCUUCCAAUCCAGUGUUCCAUUCCAGGAUGAAACAUCUCCAGAUCGAUUAUCACUUUGUUAGGGAACGGGUUAUCAAGGGUGAUUUACUGGUCCAGCAUGUCUUCUCUACUGAUCAGUUUGCUGAUAUCCUCAUCAAAGGUCUUUCCAUUUCUUUGUUUCAGCAUCAUUGUUCCAAUCUCAUGCUUGGCUCCUCCAAGCCUGCGAUUGAGGGGGCAUGUAAAGAUAUCAACGGCUUUACGUCUACCAAGUGUCAGAAGAUUAGAGAUUGAUAUUGUUAGAAUGUUGUUAAUAUUGUUUGUUAGCUAAGAGAGUUUGUUAGUAUUGUUUCAGUGCUAAGAGAAAGAACAGAUACCGUGUAUUACCUUUCUAAUAUAGCCUAUAUAAACUGAGGAUUAGUGAUGUGAAAAUAAUGAAAGAAAAAGUAAUAAUAAAACAGUGCGAGACUUCAUCUUCUGCUUCUCUGUAACAGAAUUAUUCUAUAUUCUUCUUCCUUUCUAUUCUCUGCACUUUCUUCAUUUCUGCUCCUUUUCUGUAUAAAUUCUACCGUCUAUCACCUCUAACUUCGCUUACUAUGCUUAUUAUGCAAAGCAAUUAUUUUCAAGCUUGUGGAACGGGGUGUUCCUCCAUCUUCUUGUUUAACUGCUUUCUUCAUAAACUUGGGAAGUCAUGUGUUAUGAACAAUUGAUUUGAUCUUGUGAAAUAUAUGGCAGAAGAGAUUAGAAAAUGACUUCUAUUAUCAAUAAUUUCUUCUUCCUUGUGAAAUGAUUUCCCGAUACAGCUCUUAAUUUCAACACCUGCUUGCUCUUCUUUUCUUAGUAGACCUGGGAAGCAAAGAUUCCUAAUUAUCCACAUCAUCAAUCGCGAUCCCAUCAAAAAUGAAUUUGGUGGAAGAAAGAAAAACAAAUUGAAAGAAAAAUUAUCAAUUAAGAUUUCAUGUCGUCACAAAAAACAAUUACGAGCUUCAUAAGAUAAUUUUAGCUAGUUUGUCUUAAACUCAUUAGAACAUCCUUUAAUCUUCAACUGCUGUCAUUUGAGAUUUCAUGUUUGUGUUUUCAAUUAAGAUUACACAUCCAUUUGUCAGAAAUACGCACCAAUAUUCCUUAUUACCUAACCUUAAUCCUGUAAUUCUGAUUCUGAACUGCUCUUUACACUCCUUUUCCAUCGAUCAAUACAGAUCAAUCUUUAUUAUUUGCUCCAGGUUGCUGCUGCUGGUUACUCUGUCAUGGAUUAUUAUUUUUCAGUAGUCAGUUAUCCUAGUGCUUGCUUGGACAUGCUCAACAAUGGAGUUUCUCUAAAUGUAAUUCCCACAGUGAAAUCUUCUGUCAAAGUCAUUUCAAGCCGGAAAAGAUCAGGAAAAUGCAGUCUUGAAACAUCAAGCGAAUAGUGCCCAGCAGGAAAAAUUCGUUUCUACUAACAAAUGGAAUGUAAAGUUGAUCCAAGGAUGCUACUAACUUACAAGAAAUUAAAUCAUCAAAGAAAAAAUAUCCACUAGAAGAAGUGUUCUUUCCUUCUAUUUAAAAAGAAUUCGAAAUUUUACUAGACCCUAAUAACAUGAAGUAAAUCUGUUUUUUUUACUCUUGGCUUGUUCUCAAAAAUUUUAUUGAUAUUAAUUAAAUAACAAAGACAAUGAUGUAGCUAGUAUGAACUAUGAAAAUUGAGAACGAGAGGGAUGAUCAGGAAUGGAUUAAGAAAAAUGGGCUUGAAAGAGACCCAACAGGAGAGAAAAAUCUAAAAUAAACUCUUGAUGUCUUUCAUAACUCAAUUUUUGACUCUUUUUAUUUUAUUAUUAUUACUAUUAUUUUAUUUAUUGAAAAAUGAUAAUAAAAAAAAUAAUGAUGAAAAGAAAAUAAAAAAUGAAGAAUAAAUUAAAAUUAGGUUAAGGCAACAUGAUUGGAAGUUUUGGGGAUUAAUUAAAGUUUGGAAUUAAUUCAAUCAAGGGUUUAAUUGGAGAAUUGAUAAGUUUUGAGAUUAAUUGAGUUUGGAAUUAAUUGAAUUAAUGAAAAUCAAGGAUUUAAUUAGAGAAUUGACAAGUUGUUAGACUUAUUUGAACUUGGAAUUAAUUUAUUCAUGGACUUAAUUGAAAAACCAUCAAAGUAUAGGGCUGAUUAUGGUCAAAUUUGCAAGAAAUUAAAACCCAAGGACCAAUGUGUAAAUGGCGCUGAGAUUCAGGGGUUCAAUUACAAUUUACCCAAGGACUGGACUGCAAAAAGUCAACAUGUCUAGGAUGAAAACGCAAAAGGCCAUUAACAUCAGCACUGUUCAUCUUCUUCACCCGAAAACGCAUGCCUUUAUUGCAUUAAAAUCCAUGCAACCGCAUGGCAUUCUCUGGUUAUAAAAACCAGAGAAGGAGAACGAGCACCAGGUUAGAGAGGGGGAGAGGAGAAAAUAAACAGACUUUCAUUCCUCUGUUUCUUCUUAAGGAAACAGAGGAGGUUAAAGAAAAAAGCAACAAACAGGAGGAAAAAAGAGCAAAACCGGGGGGAAAAAGGGAGAGAAGACAGAGAGAGUGAGCGACCGAAAAGGGGAAAACAAAAGGAAAAACUGAGAGACAGGGGAGAAAAGGCAGAACCGAGGGGACUAAAGGGGGGGAAUAAAAGAAGAAAACAGAGGAGACAAAAACCGGGGAGAGGGGGAGACACAGAAUCAGUUUCAACCAUCUCUUCACCAUCUUCAACAACUCUUCAGCCUCCAGGAACCCAGACAGGAGAAGAAACCCCAUCGACUUGCUUUGGGAAGACGCAGAGUUACAGAAUAGAGAGCGGAGAAGCAUACGAAAAAAAGAGGGGGGCAAGCUUCCAUUCAACCGACAGCACCUAGCAUCUUCAUCACCAUCGUUGAUGUCCUGAGCAGAGGAAACACAGAAGGAAGACCAAGGAAAGCAGUAGACAAGAGUCACCACCAGCGUCACCACUGUUUUUGUCGCCUCCAGAAGCAGCAGCUUCAGAUCUCCAUCUUCAGUAGCCACUGCACCAGAAACAGGGCACUCCAGGAGAGAAAUACAGGGAAGAACCGGGGAAGAAAAGGAGAAAGAGAAGGAAGAAGAGAGGAAGAACAAGAGGUGGCAGCGCCGUUCGUCCAGCGCAGUGCGCCAUCGUCUCCGGCUACGCCUUGCUGCACCAGGUAAGUCUUCUCUCGUCUCUCCCCUCCUGCGUUAUAUUUCACUUGCCACUCUAGCAAGUGAAUUAUAAUUAAUUCACUACCCAACCGGGUCACUGGCUUCGGCCAGUGACCAGACCAGGAAUGUUGGGUCUACCUAGCCAUGUAGGCUGGAUCAGACCCAGCCCCACAAAAAAAAUAAAAAAAAUAAAAAAAAAAACAAAAAAAAACUAGAAAGUGUAGAAAUAAAAAUUUUACAUGUCUUAGGAAAAAUGUAUUUUUGUCAAUUUAUUCACUGAUAUUAGGAUCAGAAAUAAAAAAAAAUAUAUACUGAUUUUUUUUUAGCUAUGAAUUUCUACACCAGAGUUGGAAUUAUUCAUGGUGGAAUUUUUACCAACGCUAGAUUUGGAAUUAUUCGUGGUGGAAUUUUUAAACUCUAGAGUUGGAAUUAUUUGGGGUAGAAUUUUUACCAACACCAGAGUUGGAAUUAUUUGAAAUCGAAUAUUCACUGACACUAAAGUCAGGAAUAUUAUAAACAAAUCAUCAUAGCAUAAGCGAAUAAAUGUUUAGUAAUUUAAGACAAAACCAGCAAUGCAGUCUGCCUCAGGCAGAACAUUUAAAGGGUGAUAAUAUCUUCCCUUUUACAUAACCAAUCCCGAACCAUAGAAUCUCUGUUGACUAGUUAGGGUUUCUAGUGGCGACUCCUUAAACAAGAUUUUUUUCCCCUAAAAGAACAAGAUGCCAGAAAUCUAUUUUUUAUUCUUUUUCCAUAAUGAAGAUUAUUUUUAGAGCCGCCGGGUGCGACAAUGUUUAAAAUAGCCUAGAAGUAGGGCUUAGAUAGCUAGGGCUGAGAAAAUUGCCAAAAUAGGUAAAUACUGAUUAUUCAAUAAAUAAAUAAAAUAUUGCCUUGUUUUAAGUUUAGACUUAUGUUCUUUCAGCAAACAAAAUUAUUGUAGAACCACAUUCCACCUUGCUGGUAUGAUCCUGUGGUUCUAUCAAUUAUUUUAUUAAUUGAGAAAAUACUGUAAACUAUUACAAUUGUGAAUAAAUUCCAUAUUAUUAGGGAUAUAGUAAUCACAAGAAGCCAAGAAAUCUAAGAGCAAAACGCAACAUAAUUAAGACAUAACAAACAAAUAUGGAUACAAGCACAAGAACAAACACAAGUCACAUCAAAACAGAAAGGCUAAGCAACAAGAACCGGACACUUCGACAGAACACUUCUCACAGGCAAAUUGCUAAACAUGCAGUGAUCAACCCUUGAUUUGGAAUGCGACUGCAUCCCCAUAGAGGAUCACAACAAAUUCAGAAAGCAGCCCACACGCUGAUAAGACCCAAUCACCUUUUGAAUCUGGACAACUUGCGAAAGUUUAUAGCCAAAAAGCAGUAGCAAGUGUCAAUGCACUCUUCAAUGAAGUAAAACCACCUGCGUCGCCAAUGCGGAUUUAUGCACAGUACUGCUGCAAUUGUCAACACCACAAUUAUGUAAAACACACCAAAGCUGGCAUAGAAACUGUCCAUGUCUAUUAAUCCAUCAUCUCCAUUGGAAUUGUUAGGCACUCUCACUGAUGGUGAUUCUGUUUUGUCGCAACUGUUUUGCAAUGGAGGUCCACAAAGAAGAGGAUUCCCUUUAUAACUGCUCUCAUCAAAGGUAGCAAAUUGAUAUUUCAUCUCCGGUGUUCUUCCUGACAAAUUAUUGUACGACACGUUGAAAACUGCUAGAAAGUUCAGUUCAACGAGUUGUGCAGGAAUUCUCCCAUUCAAGUUGUUGUGAGAAAGAUCCAAGCUCUCUACGUGCUUCAGAUUGGAGAAAGAUGAAGGGAUCAAUCCCGUGAGAUUAUUUUGUGACAGAUUUAGAGCGAAUAUGUCACUUAAGUUUCCCCAUUCUGUCGGGAUUUCUCCAGUGAAUCUAUUACAAGACAGAUCCAUAGCAGACAUGUAACGAAGGAUAUCGCCCUCGUAAGUGUAGAAAUUUUUCUUUGCUGUAAGCUCUACAGCUAUUUUUACAUCAAUCUCUGGCCACAUAGUUUUGCUAUCAAUAUGAAAACCUCUGUUACCCAAUUUUCUCCCCCCUAUGGAUGCCAAUAUUUCUUUCUGGCUUCCAUCAUCUUCUGACACCGUAUCUGUGACGACCAAAGUUUUUUCACCCGAUGCCGUAAAAUUUAAAUUGCUUAAACAUAAGGGUAACGGACCAGAAAAAUUAUUUUCUGAAAGAUCCAAUAUGCUUAAUUUCCUUAACAAGCAUACCUGAACAGGAAGUUCCCCAUUGAAUUGAUUAGAUUUCAGAAGAAGAAUGCUCAAUUUCGAUAGUCUAUCAAUCCAAUUUGGAAUUGGCCCAGUUAAGUUGUUAUUGCCAAGAUCUAAUGUCACCAAAUGAGAGCUAUUAUAAAAAGCAUUUGGCAGUGGACCACUCAAUCGAUUUCUGUAUAGGUGGACAUAGCGUAAAUAUGGUGUUUGGAAGCCCAACGACAAUGACCCAGACAGAUUGUUUUCAGAAAGAUCUAAAAAUUCAAGCAAAUAACAUCUGAAAAGCUCUAUUGGAAUGGUACCUUCAAAAUGAUUUCUGGACAAGUCAAUUCCCUGCAAGAAUAUUGAAGAGUUCCCAAUUCCCUUUGGAAGCGUGCCUGACAAAAGAUUGUUACUGAUAUCAACCAACCAAAGUGAUGAUGCAAGAGAAAAGGUGCCAGAUACUUGUCCAACAAAUUUGUUUCCAUCUAGAAAGAGGUAACGCAGGUGAGUCAUGUUGAAAACAAAAGGCGGUAAUCGCCCUUUGAAAUUGUUAUUGGACAGCUUCAAAAACCACAACGAGGAGCCUCCUGUAGGCAAGUUAUGCUCAAGUAGUUCACAAGUCAUAUGAUUGUUGGAAACAUCCAAGUAUGCGAGAGAGCUCAUAUUCCCAAAAGGAGGAAUGCAACCUGUAAGGUUGUUGUUAGCCAUCAAGAAGUUCUUCAAACGUGGAAAAAUCAAACAUGUGUUUCUUGCAAUUUGACCAUGGAUGUUGUUGUCAGAAAUAUCUACUGUCCGAAGGUUGGGUGUUGGAUGUUGUGGCAACUGCAAAGGACCUGUAAUUGAGGUGUCUCUCAAAUAUAAUCGAUUUAACAUUCUAUUAUUCUCAACCAGCCAUGAUGGGAAAGGUUGUCCAAUGAAUUUGUUGUGGGAUAGAUCAACAAACAUCAAAUCAUAUUGGCUAUGGAGGAAGUUUGGAAAUCCAGCCUUGAGUGGUUUUGAAGUACAGUUUGAAGCACUGAAAAAACGAAGCUGGAACUUGGUAGCUGAAGGCUGAAAACUGGGUGCAGGUAUUAGCUCAUUGUUAUCGCAUGCAAUGAACUUGAGGUUGGAGUGGUUCAUAAAUGAACCAAAAGAUAUUGGAACUUGAAAGUAAUUAUUUGAAACUGAGAGGUAUUCAAGCUGCGUAAGAUGGGAGAGGUGACUAAAGGCAAUAUUUCCCUCCAAUUGAUUGUCAGAUAAAUCCAAGAAUUGUAGAAAUGAUAGAUUUCCAAGACAAGGAGGGAGCAAGCCCGUUAGUUUGUUUCCUGAGAGAAAUAGCUGUUCAAGAUUCGUCAGUUCACACCAGCCUGCACAUUAUAUCCAUAUGUUCAUGUCAAGGGAAUAGGAAUAUAUCAAUUAUGUACUAUUCGUUGAGAGAUCUAUUCGAAUACAAGUUUAUUAGCGAUUUAAUUUACCUUGGUGAGGCAGGGUGCCAUUUAGCAUACAGCUUUCCAGAGACAAAAUUCUGAGAGCAGGAAACGGUCCAAUAUUUAGAAGAAAACUUGCUGUCAUGGGAGAAGCUCGAUCCAGGAAUAGCUCUUCAAGUUUGGUGAAAUUCUGCGGUCCUAAAGGAUUAAGAAAGGUGCGUUCUUAAUAUCAUUUGAGUUGAGAUUGAAGGAAGCGGAAACAUAAAGGGAUUGGGUUAUUAAAAAAAAAUUAUUAUGGGAAAUUAAAAUCAUUUCCGACAUAAAUUUCUAUUUUAUUGAUCCAUAUGUAUAACCAGCUUAUAAAAGGAAAAACGGAGAAAUUUUUGUUGAUAAAAUUACUAAAUAUCGUCAUAAACGUAAUGGUUUAAUAACAUGAAAAUUCUUUUAUUCUUUCAUGGGAAAUUUUUAGAUUCAUCAUUUGACACAUAUUUUUGCUAUCCGAAGAAAGGAGCUUGAGAUUUGAGUGGUUCAUAAAUGAUUCAACUACUUAACAAAACUGGGACUUGAUUGUAAGACACAUCCACCAGUUGUAAUAGAUGACAAGUUUCUCAAACAAGUUGUGAUGAGGGACACGUAUCUACAAGUUUAAACUCAGAAAGAAGUCUGAAUGUGUCAAAUAAUCUUUUAAUUACCUUGAGCAGGUCCGGUGCCAUGGAAGUCAGCUCUGGUCAAGGAUAAAACUUUAAGAGUAGACAAGGGUCCAAUGUUCCGAAGAAAGCUUGUUGGGAGAGAAGAAUAAUCGAGGAACAUUUCUUCAAGGCUAGUCGAAUUACACAAUCCUGUGGAACAGAUAAGAUAAAUCCAUUAAUGAAAGUGAUAUAUAAAUAUCAUGUUUUAGGCUCCAAACUGUAACUGACCUUUACCAGAGUGUAUUCCUUUAAAUUUGCUCCCAGUAGCAUAUAAGCUCUUGAGGGAUGGCAACGCUCCCAAUGACUCUAUCAAAAUGCUUUCCUUGAAGUCAAUUAUUUCCAGAUACAAGAUUUCUAAAUUCCUCAAACCUGUGAUGGAGAGCACAAUUAAUAAUAAUGGCUUUUUUAUUUUUUAUUUUUUAUUUUUUCCUGAUUCCAAGUGGUACAGAUAUGUGUGUUCUACAAUUUGUUUUAUUUAUGUGUUGUCAUCUGGAAUAAUUUGGAGCACUAUCGUAGAAUGAGCAGGGGUGCAUGCAGAGUAAUUGAUCUAGCAGUUUCCGGCUGCUGUGUUCUACAAAUUUUUGUUCUUGACUUUUUGUUUGCUCUAUCUAGUUGGAAGUUUUAGCUCAAAAUUGUUGAUAUAAAUAAUUUCUAAUGUUAAAGAUUAAUAUAUAAUUAUUAUUAGAAACUUACCCAACAAUUUAAGUCUUUGAAUUAAAUUAAUUUUAAUAUGAUAUUAGAAUUUUAAUAACCAAAUGUUUAUGAAUUUAAAUCAUCUCACCUCCAUUCCUUUAAUAUUUUUUAAAAAAUAAUCAGCACUAGCGAAAGGUAUACCAUGUAAGAAUCCAUAACUAUUUCACUUGAAAAAAUAUGUUAAAGGAAUUAAUUAUAUAAAAGCAUUUAUAGGGCUUCAUUCAUCUGCUUGAUGAUUAAUGCACAGCUAAUUAUUAAAAAAGUUAACAAAAUAAUAAAUUAAGCCUCUCUAAGGAAUGUCAUCGAGGUAGGAAUGAUUUACCAUUGAGACCAAUUGAUCCUGUAAACUUAUUUUUUGAUAGAUGUAGAGAUUUGAGAGUUGAAAAACCACCGAGAGAUGAUAAAAUACUAUCGUUAAAUUUAUUGUCACUCAGUUCAAGUUCCUGCAAUUCCCUCAACCCUGAUGCUAGCUCGUGAAAACCUAUAAGAAAAUUGUCAAAAGCAAAAAAAUUAACAAAUAUAUAUAUUUCAACCAUCCAUUAUCCAUAAAAGUUCAAUGAAAUAUAAAUUUAUGUAUUAAUUUUUUAUAUACCAAUUGUUCCUGUGAACCUAUUGUUUGAUAGAUGUAGAGAUUUGAGAGUUGAAAAACCACCGAGAGAUGAUAAAAUGUUGUCGUUAAAUUUAUUGUCACUCAGAUCAAGUUCUUCCAACUUUCUCAACCCUGAAGCUAGUACUUGAAAACCUGAAAGAAAAUUGUCAGAAUAAAAAAGAUUACACCUGAAAUUUAUUUUUCAUUGAACUUUUUUGGAUAUUGGGAUAUUGUAUGAUAUAUAUACCCCAAUAUCCAUAAAAGUUAAAUGUAAAGUUACUUGAAAUAUAACUUGAAGUGUUAACUAAAAACAAUUGAACCUUGAUUCUCUAAGACACCAUCUAAUCGGUUGUCGCUUAAGUGGAGAAUCUCCAAUUCUUUGAAAGGCAGAAACAAAGAUGCAUUGAGAUCCAAGUCUUCGAAUGGAAAAGAACUUACACCUGAAAGAUGAAGUUCGAUCACUCGGUUUGUGGUGCUGUCGCACACAACCCUACCCCAGUUACAGCAAUUAAAAUGCUCUUUAUCCCAACCUUUUGAUAGAGGUAGUAUAGAUAACCCAGCAGUUGCAUGACUGAACCAAGCUUUUAUCUCUAAGAGACUAAUUCUCUCUUCCUCUAAACAACAAUGGCACCGCUCGUUGACGAAGGCCAGUGCCAUGAGCAGCAUCCACACCCACAUUUGCCUCAUCUUCAUAUUGACUCUCCUACUUGACAAAAUACAAUAGCAAUCAAGUUGUCUCUUAUAUACAAUUUUGUCCUCUUCAUGCAUUUGAUCGGACAGUGACAGUUAUCUGUAUCAUUGAAUUAAUUAUCCAAGGUAGACUUGGGCUUAAUUGAAUGGGAGAGUCUUCACGGACAGUGCUAGCCGUGGGCCCGCACCACGGCACAGAUCAACGUGGUUGUUGAUAUAUAUUUUUUUGUUAUACUAUCUUAUUAUUUAAUUCUUUUUUGUUUUUAUGUUUUAUGUUUCCCUGAUCUACUAUUGCAUUUAGUACCUUAACAAUAUGCAUUCAUUGCCAUCUAGAAUUUCAUUCAAUAGAGCGAUUAAUCAAGAAACUUAUUAUUGACUUUCAUUUAAAUUAGAAUACAUGAAUAAUUUAUGAGUUUGAAAAAUGUUAUCCAUCCAUAUUAAUUACACAAAUUUUAAAAUAAAUUGCAAUUAAGUUUUUCCAAACAAAUAUCAUUACAUAAGGAAUACGUACGUACUCAAGACAUAGGAAGCCAAGUUUCCAAGAUAAUCCAUUAUUCAAUUUUGUGAAUGAUGAAACUUUUCAAGAUAAUCCUUAUAUAAUAAGGUUUGAUCAAUUUUUUCGAGAUUGUGUUAUCAUAAAUCACAUAUCGUUUAAGUUUCCAGCUUAUAAUAAUAAUUUACACGAAUUAUUGGUGAGAAAUCUCCAAAAUCAUUUUAAAAAAGACAAAUCUAUAUGUCUUAUAGUGCUAUCUCUUUUUUUGUGUUUUCAAAUGUUUUUGUAUUAUGUGUACAUUAUAUCAUCUCUCAUACACAAAAUAUGAGACAUAAUAUUUUAUUUUUAGGAAAAAUCUAAUAAUCCCAUAAAUGAUCAAAUAUCAAUUUGCUUUCCCUAAAUAAUAUCACAUAUAUUAUUUCAAAAUAGUUUUAGAAAUUUGUUCAAUCAAGUCUGUACUUAAUUUUUCUAGGUUUAUAAUUGUAAUCACGUGUAUCAACUUCACUUUAGUUCUUAAUUUCUAAAACUUAAUUACAAUCAAGUCACAUUUAAUUAAUCAUCUCAUUUUAAUUUUUGAUCAAUGAUUUUUAAUGUGUGUGGCCAAUUGAGUUCUUAACAAGUUGGCUCAAAUAUAAAUAACAAUCAUAAAUAAAAUACAAUUAAACAAUUUAACAAUUUAACUUAUCAUUAAUUUAACAAAUUAAUUAAUUAAUAUUUGAAAAUCAAGUGCAAUAUUUAAUAACAUGUCAUAACCCUCUAAAUAUUAAAAAGGUCAUACAUGUUUUGACUUAACUUUUUAUUGACUAGUUUCUCAAAGUAAUUAUUAUCCCUUUAUUAAGAAUAUUUUAAUUUAGAUAUUAGAGCACAAAGUAUAUAUGUUCUAUCAAAUCAAAUUUAUUAUCAACAUCAUAGUCAUAGAUUAUUUGAAUAAGAUUUGAAACUCUUUACAAAUCUUAUUACACCUUGCACAAUGAUUUCAUAGUCAAUACUAUUUGUCGCACGUGUAUGGCAUCGCGGCGAUCGUCCACCCUCAAGGAAAAAUGUAAUGGACUAUCUGGUAAAUGUGGAGAGACAAGGAAUUCUUGUCACUUAUCAAUGGAAAAUUUAAAUAGGAGUCGCCACCUAGUAUUCUAGUCACUAGGAACCCUAACUGGUCUUAGAGAUCGGAUACGGAGACUGGUUGCGUAAAGGGAAUGUAUUAGCACCCCAAAUACUCCCUACCUAAGGUAAGCUGCAUUGUUUUGUCUAAUAAAAUCUAAAGUCUUGUUGUGGUUUCUAAUUGUCGGUCCGUUUACAGUUUAAGAAAAGUCCUCUGUAAGGAGAUCCUUAUCUUAUCAGGUAAAACCUAAUUAUUUUAAGUUGUCAAAAGAAAAUACCUUUUUAAUAUCGGGAAUACAUUUUACGUAUAAAUUCAUAAUCUUUGAUACUAAAAUCAAACAAAAUAAAAAUUUUUUUUGUUUUUGAAAUUUUGGUCAAUGUUCUCUUCACUUUAAUAAACUGGUUAUUAAAGCCACAAUGCAUGCUAAAUUUUUUUUUUUUCUGGUGUAUGAAAAACACAAUAUGAUUUUUUUAGCUUUUGAGACACUUGUCCAUAUACACAAAAAGAUUUUUUCUUUUUCUCAAUUUUUUUUGUAUUUUGGAAGUUUUAACAAAAAUCGGGUAUUUUAAUAUCGAAUUUGUAUGUUUACGACGCAAAAUACUGACCGAUAUUAAGCAAAACAAAAGACAUAAAUCAAAAGGAGGAAAUCAGAAAAUAUUAAAAAUAUUUUUUUAAAAUGGGCCGGACCCAGCCCAGAUCAAUGGGCUGGGCCGGACCCAGCCCAGAUCAAUGGGCUGGGCCAGACCCGACCCAAAAAACUAAUGGGCUGGUUACUGUGUAUAAGCACAGUAACCAGCCCUUCACUCUUUCCUGCAGAACGUGAAUUAUUCAUGUUUUGCAUGCAAAUACAGGCAGGGACAAGAAGAGGAAAAUGAAUGAGGCAGCAGGAGGUUACCUAGGGUGGCGUCGAGGCGGUGUUGCUGGCAGCGGCAGUGCUACUAUCGUAGUGGUAGUGUUGGUGGCCGGCGGUGCUUCUCCUUUUUCUUCCUCUCCCUCCUUUGUUUUUUUUUUAUUAUUAUUUCUUUUUCUUUCCUUUUCUCCUCCUCUUUUCUGCUAUGUCUUGUCUCAUCUCUUCUCUUCUCUCUUAUGUUCCUCUAUUUUAUUUUUUUCUUCCCUCCCCUCUGUUUUUUGUUCUUUUUUCGGGUCUGUUUUUCUUCUUCUCUUUCUCUCUUCUUCCUUCUUUUUCUCUGCUCUUUUCAGUCCUCUUGCCUAUCUGCUCUCUUGUCUCUCUUUCUCUCUCUCAGUUUCCCCACCUUUCAUCAUGCUCUCCCCCUCUGUAUUUAUAGGUGAAAACAAAGGGGGGGGGGAGAGGUCGAGGUGGCCACUGUGUUGCCACCCCAAACCGCCCAAGGGGUACGUCCCCUCCAUUCUUCCACCACGUGGCAAGCAAAUGGGUUGUAUCGGCAUCUUUUUUAGCUUUAAGAGAGAGAGGGAGCUAGUGAAAACAGGGGAAUAAAACCUUCUUCUUCCCCUAAUUUCUACACAUCGAAGGGAAGAAAGGUUGUAUCGUUCAAAAAGGCACCAUUUUGGGCUUUCUCUCUUUCUUUGUUUUUAUGAACAGUAUAUGAAACGACGCUGUUUUGGUCAAAAUGCGUCAUUUUAUUUAAAUGGAUUUUGGUGCCAAAACGUGUCAAAUUCAAAAUCAGGCCUUCAAUUUGCAUGUGUUUUACAAUUUAGUCCUUGGUCUCGGAUUUCUUCAAUUAAGUCCCUAAUUGGCCAUCAAACUUCAAUAUUUAUGCAAUUAAGCCCCUAAUUUGACCAAAUUAAAUCUUAAAAAUUAUAUUUUGACCCCAAAACUUUAAUUUAUUUCAAUCAAGCCAAAUUAACUCCAAAAUUAAUUUUUCUUGCAAUCAAAACCUCCAUAAAUUCAAUUAAACCUUUAAGAAAAUUUAAUUGAGUCCAUAAACCUCUGAUUUUGGUCUUUUCUUUCUCAAAUUAAAUUUUCUUUGUCAACAGGGCUAUCAUCAGUCAACAAAAUAUUGUCAAAUUUUAAUUUUUGUAUUUUUAAACCUUCUCAACCAAUUUUUAACCCUUUUUUAGUGUUGCUGAAGACUGUGAAGAUGAUGGUCAACGCCGGUUCUCGUCUCUACGCUUUCAUCCGAUGGGCUGAGUUUGCGUCUCCUUUGCUCCUGGUUUGAGAUUCUGUCAACUUCAGUUCUGAGAUGAAGGGACAAAGAAGAUGGUGGGGCUGCUCCUUGUCUUUGCGUCGUUUCUCUGCUUUUAUUUUUCUCAGUUUUUUCGUUCCUCGGUUCUGCUUCCCCCCUCCUCUUCUUUCAUUCCCUGGCUUCUUAUAGAGCCAGAGAACGUGGUAAUCAGGGUGAGCCACGUUCCCACGAUAUGCAGUUACAGAUGUCCUGCUGAAACGGUCUUGAGCGACGAAGAAGGUGGAGCGUUUGAACUGGAAAUGGCAACUUUCGUUUUGGACCUUGAAUUUUAGAAAGUUUUGUAAUUAAGUCCCUAGUUAAAUUGUAAUUGGACCCCUGCAGUUUGGCAUCUUUUACAAGUUAGUCCUUGGAUUUUAAUCUGUUUGCAAUUGUGCCCCCAAUUAACCCCAAACUUUGCUAUUUUUCCAAUUAAGUCCUUGAUUUCAUUAAUUAAAUUAAAUCCAAGUCCAAUUAAGUCUUAAACUUAUCAACUCUCCAAUUAAACCCUUUGAUUUGAUAAAGUAAAUUAAUUCCAAACUCAAUUAAGUCUCAAAACUUAUUAAUUCUCCAAUUAAACCCUUGAUUUAAAUAAUUAAACUAGUCAAGAAUUUAAUUAAAUCUUUAAACUUCCAAUCAUGUUGCUCCUAACCCAAAUUUUAAUUCAUUCUUUAUUUAUUAAAAUUUUUACUUGUUUUUCAUUUUAGUAAAUAAAAUAAUUAAAAUAAAAGGUAAAAAAUUGGGUUAUGAUAAUUAUUUUUAUCAGAUUUUAUAUAUGAUGCAUCAAGUUUUUUAAUGUUAAUUGAAAAAAAAAUUAGGAUUACAUCCUAGUCGUAGAUAUGAUUAUUAUUCAUUUAAUGUUAAUAGAAACAUAUAUAUAUAUAUAUAUAUAUAUAUAUAGCAAAAGCAAAAGGUUUGAAUUGGUGGUUAAAAACAAAUAUUUUUUUAUUUUGCGGUUCCACCAGAUGCACCAAGUAAAUUAUUGUGAGGGUGCUCCCCUUCAGUAAAACUUUUUUUAAAAAUAAUUUAGUUUCGGUUGACUCACAAAAUUGAGACAUCUAGCUCAUGACUCAUGGCUUUGGCUUUAGACGUAGCUGUAACUUCGCUUACUAUGCUUAUUAUGCAAAGCAAUUAUUUUCAAGCUUCUGGAACGGGGCGUUCCUGCAUCUUCUUUUAUGGCAGAAGAGAUUAGAAAAUGACUUCUAUUGUCAAUAAUUUCUUCUUCCUUGUGAAAUGAUUUCCCGAUACAGCUCUUAAUUUCAACACCUGCUUGCUCUUCUUCUUUUCUUAGUAGACCUGGGAAGUCAAGUUUCCUAAUUAUCCACAUCAUCAAUCUCGAUCCCAUCAAAAAUGAAUUUGGUGGAAGAAAGAAAAAAAAUAAAAAAAUAUCAAUUAUUUUCAAGCUUGUGGAACGGGGUGUUCUUCCAUUUUCUUGUUUUAACUGUUUUCUUCGUAGACUUGGGAAGUCAUGUGUUAUGAACAAUUGAUUUGAUCUUGAAAAUGACUUCUUUCAAUAAUUUCUUCUUCCUUGUGAAAUAAUUUCCCGAUACAGCUCUUAAUUUCAACACCUGCUUGCUCUUCUUUUCUUAGGAGACCUGGGAAGUCAAGAUUCCAAAAUAUCCACAUCAUCAAUCUCGACCCCAUCAACAAUAGUGCCCAGCAGGAAAAAUUAGUUUCUGACGGUGAGAUGAUGCCAAAAUUGUAGUCAAAGAGACUUGGAACUCCCUGAUGAUGGUCUCUAGCUCUGGAGGUUUAUUCUGCCAAAAUUGCAUGGGCCGUUUUACAGCCUUCGUAAUGGGCUUGGCUACUUUGGGUAAUUAAAAAAACCCAAAUCGAUAAUGUUUUUUUUUUUUUCCUUUGGUAUCCGUUUAAUCAAUCUUCUGGUUUGAUCCUUGAUAGUGCUGUGUUUUGAUGCUUGUCGAUUAGCCACAAUAAUGUUAAAUUUACAAGGACAGAUCCAAGAAAAGCAAUGCAGGCCUGUAUUGGUCUCUGGGAGUCCCCUGAUAAAGGCUGCAAUCAUUGCUUGAACCCUUGUAAAGGGGCCUUUACACAUGAGGUCCACUGAAGAAGUACAACACCGUUUUUUUAUUUAAUUCUUAUGGUUUAAAUCUACUAAUAACUUAGUCAUUUUGCAUGCUAUUUUUCCACUUGUUUUGUAAAAUAGAGAAAAGAACAAAGUAAAUCUUUUUUUUUAGUUUAUGGCAUGUUCUCAAAAGUUUUAUUGAUAUUAAUUAAAUAAAAAAGACAUUGAUAUAGCUGAAAAUUGAGAACGAGAGGGAUGAUCAGGAAUGGAUUAAGCAAAAUGGGCUUGAAAAAGACCCAACAGCAGAGAAAAAUCUGAAAUAAACUCUUGAUGUUCAAAAUAGCCCACAAGCAAGGAAAAUUACCAAAAUAGGUAAAUACUGAUUAUUCAAUAAAUAAAGAAACUUCCUAGAAUAAGUGUGACAUCCUUUAAUGUUUUUACCUUUUAGAACAGUUUAUCCAGGUCGAUUCCACUUUGCUUCAACCGACCACAAUGAUCCCAUAUCCAUCUAUACAAAAAUCAAUUAAGCGGUCCAUUGACACAUUAACUUCUCUGGCUCCAUUCCGUCCUGGAUUAGCAAUCUUUCAACAUUGAGUGUUCUUCUUCUAAAAGCUACCUGAUCUUGUCAACCUAUGACAGAUCUAAAGACUUGAGAGCGGAAAGCCCAUUAAAACAUGAUAAAAUGCUUUUAUCAUUAUUAAAUCGGUUCCCACUUAGGUCAAGUACCUCCAGUUUUGAUGGUAGGACUUCGAAGCCUGGAAGAGAAACAUCAAAGCAAGAUAAUUGACAUUAAACACCGACCUUGAUUCUCAAAAUAAUAUAAAUUUAUUCUAUGAUUAUAAGAACAGAAAGAUUGAACCGACCAUGAUUCUCAAAGCAACCAACUAAUCCAUUACCGAUCAAAUCAAGACUUUGCAAUUCGUUAAAAGGCAGAAACAAAGAUGCGUUGAGAACCCAAUCCCCCAAACUCUCAUCCCUUGCACCAAUAAGAGAGAGUCGGAUCACUCGCCUUUGAGUGUUAUCACACUUGAUCCCAUACCACUCACAACAAUUACUACUGUACUCCGCCCAAUCUCUCAUGUAAAUGCUGUUUGGAUUGAUCAAAGGUUUGAUCUCCAUGAGACCAAUUCUCUCUUCCUCCAAACACCCAUAAGAACGACCACACCAUUUCGCCAUCCAAAGUCAAUAAUGUGACCAAAAUCCAAACCCACAAUAUCUUUUUCACCACCAUCUUAUAUUGUUCUAUAAACCACUACGUAGAAUUUUGUUGUUUGUUAUGUGAGUUUGGGCAACCCACAUUUGGUCCCAUUUAAAACACACUUUGGCCAUUUCCAUGAUUUUAUCUGCGUAUCCUGUGCAGGUUCCAUGAUUUUAUCGGGGAGUCAAUUUAAGUUAUUUUCCUGCCACUUUCUCAGCAGUUAUUCUCGUAGAGUCCUAUUUUGUGUUAAACGUUGGGUGCGUAUAAAGUAGUCAAAAGUAGGAUAUCCCGCUUUCUCCAUUGCUGUUCUGCAACAAUAUUUUGGUAGCCUUAUAGCACUCACUACUGGAGAAAUUGAGCUAAAGCAUAAAAUGUCAUGUACGCGGAUGCUUGACUUGCGGUGUGCCAUCUUGACUCUUAAACACCACCGAGCAGUAAUUUCAUGGUGAUUUCCUUAUUAAUACUGGUGGUCUUCCAGAAUCUUUAUCCAAACAACCCUUGCUAGACCGGGAUCGGGGUUGAUCAGGGAUAAGACUCGUGUCAUGACUUUUGAUGAGAUCACUAGGGCUCUGUUUGUUUGCAGGAAAGUGAAUUCCUUUUGGAAAGUGAAUUCCGGGGAAAGUGAAUUCCUGGAAAGUGAAUUCCGGGAAAGUAUUUUCCGAUGUUUGGUAGUGUUAUGGAAAAUGAACUGGAAAACACUUUCCAGUGUUUGGUUGUAUUAUGGAAAAUGAACUGGAAAAUAAUUUAUUAAUGAAUUAAUUUUUUUUUUAAAUUUAUCUAAUAUAUAUAUAAAAUAUCUAAUAUAAAAUAUUUAAUCACUUACAAUAAAAAAAAAUGAAAUCUAAAAUGUAUAAUGAUGAAUUUUUUUUAUUAUAUUCUAUAUUCAUACAUAGCUUAUUUUAUAAAAUAUAACUAUAUAUAUCAUAUCAUAUUAUAGAGAAAUAAGCUUGUGAAAUGUUUUUUACUAUUCCAUGAAACUAUUUAUAAUUCCAUUACGUACGAAAUAUAUCUGACAAAAAUUAUAGUUUUAAUAAUAUUUUUAGCAUGUAACAAAAUUGGAUAAAAUAUUAAGGUUUAAAAUUUACUCUAAACUAUUUUUUUUUAAUGUUAAAAAAAAUAGCACACUUAAAAAAAAAAAAAAAAGAAUCCUACAGGCAAGUGAACAGUGCAAGAGAACUGCACUGUUCACUAUUUUUCCAGUAAACAGUGUACGCAAUACACUGUUCAUGUUAAUUGCACUAUUCAUUGAACAGUGCAAUUAACAUGAACAGUUAAGAAAAAAUGGCUGCUUUUCACCGCUGGCCACUGUCGGAAAGUGUUUUCCUUUCUUUAACAAAAGAAAACACUUUCCUUUGGCAACACUGAUUUAUUUUCCAUUGACUGAAUUCAUUUUCCAUUGACUUUUUUUCUUGUUGUUGCCAAACACUGGAAAAGCAGGAAAGUGAAUUCCAGGAAUUCACUUUCCUGCAAUCAAACACGGCCUAGAUUAACUUUCAUUUUUUGCUAAUUUGGUUGAAGAAAGAAAUAUUUAGCCUGAUUUACUUCCAUAUUCAUUUUCUUUUUAAUACAUACAUGCUUGUAACAAGACAGGAUAAAAGCCAUGUAAACAAGGUAAUUAAAAAAUGUCUUCCGGCAAGUUUGUUUGUUUUUCCCCUUUAUUAUGAUAUAUAUACACGAAAGAAGAAAAUGCAUUGAUUAAAAUGCAUAGACCACCGUGUGGGCCAAUAAAAUGAAAACAAAAGACAAUAUCAAUGGUUUGCAAAAAAAGAAAAAAGAAAGUUUUCUGUUAAAUUUAUCUUUAUGUUAAUUACUUGAUUAACUAAACUUAAUCAUGUAAUAUUGAAUUAUUUGAUGAAAAACUUAUUUAAAACAGUAUUAAUUGACAUAUUUUAAAGUAAAAUAAAAAACAAACCCCGCUUACUUGCUUAUUUUUAAUGUGAAAAAUUAUUUUUUAACAUAAAUUCUUUAACAUAUUAACAUAAAAAAGUUCAAUAUAAUUAAAAUAAAUUGUGAUUAACAUGCUUUCUGAACCAAGCUUUUAUAUCUAAGAGACUAAUUCUCUCUUCCUCCAAACCACAAUGGCAAAUUGUGCCAUGAGCAGCCCUUUUGUCUUCUGGGCUGGAACAUCAGCCCAGCCCACGCGGAUGGGCUGAGUCCAGCCUUGUAGCUGGACCAAUACAGGCCCAGCCCACAUGAUUGGGUCGGGUCUGGCCCAGUUCAAUUUAAUGUUGGAACAUCAGCCCAGCCCAUGUGGGUGGGCUGAGUCCAGCCUUGUAGCUGGGUUAAUACAGGCCCAGCCCCCACAAUCAGCCCAGUUCAUUUCUUUUUUAAAAAAAAAAAAAAAAUUAUUUUCAAAGAAAUUGCAAUUUCCCCGUGUAUUUAUUUUACGUCAUUUUGAUUAAUAUUGGUCUGUAUUUUUAUAUCAUAAAGAUAUAAAUUCGGUAUUAAAAUAACCGGUUUUCAAAAAAAAAUAUUUUUGUUUUCAUACAUACGGCCUAGUUUCUCAAGGCUAAAAAUAAAUAAAAUCAUAUUGUAUCUUCAUACAACAAAGAAAACUUCAAUAUAUAUAUAUAUAUAUAUAUAUAUAUAUAUAUAUAUAUAUAUAUAUAUGUGAACAUGUGUUUUGGCUUUAAUAACCAGUUUAUUAAAGUUACGAGAACUCGGCCAAUAUUUCAAAAAAAUCAAAAAAUAUAUUUUGUUUUGUUUUAUUGUCUGGGAUUAUGAAUUUAUAUAUAAAACGUAUUCCUAAUAUUAAAAUGGUAGUUCUUUUAUAGACAUUAGAACAGUUAUGUUUUACCCCCAUAAGAUAAAAACCUCUUUACUGAGAAUGACUUUUCUUGAACCAUAGACGGACCAACAUGAUAAGACCUUAUAUUUUUUAUCAGACAGUGAAACAAUGCAACUUACCUCAGAUAGAGCGUAUUUGGGGUGUUAAUACCUUCUCUUUACGCAACCAGUCUCCGUAUCCAAUCUUUGAGACCAGUUAGGGUUUCUAGUGACUAGAAUACUAGGUGGCGACUCUCCUUCUAUUUUUUCACUGCUAAGACACAAAAAAUUCCUUGUCUCCCCAUUUUUGCUGGAAUAGAUACAAUUGCACCUAAUGAGGAGAAGUGGUGGGCGAUCAUCGCGACGCCGUACACAUGCAACACAUGUAAAACGGUUUCUAUAUAUAUAAAAGGAAGAAAGAAGAAAAUGCAUUAAAUAAAACAUGGAUAUCUUUGAAUGAAGAAAUUUAGGACACCGCUGACGUAUAUAGACAAAGUAUGCCAAGAACGAGGGGGGGCAAAAACAUUAUCAAUGGCUUGAAAGAACAAGACAAAAUAAAAUCAUUAGUUUUGAGCUUCAGAAGACAAUUUUAGCCAUUUAAUUUUGUCUUCAACUCGUUACAAAAAGCCUUGUCAUUUGAGAUUUCAUGCUUGUAAUGUUUCUGUUUUCAAUUAGUAUUACGCUUCCAUCUGUCAGAAUACUGUUGAACUUGACAAGAACUUUGAGCAAAUUCCAAUUUGAUUUUUGUAGCGAAUUAUAUCACUUAAUUGUUUGCUUAGGCUUAUUUUUAAUGUUCAAUGAAGUUUCACCAAUCAGUCAUCAAAUUCUGUAAAUGUUGCAGAUGAUUGCUAGGAAUAAAUCACAGUCAUUAAAUUUCUUCAUUUUGGUCCUUAAAUUUGUUUGCUAUGCUGUAGUUCUUUAUUUUUCGUGGAUAAAUUAUUUGGUACAGAGUUCUAAUUAAUAGCCAAAAAAGAAAAUAGCUCUGAAGAUAUCAGAACAACUGAAAAGAGAAGCAAAUAAUUGAUAAGGUGGGAGAAAAGAAUAGCAAAAUGCAUAGGCAAAUUUCUACAGUAUCAACUGACAAUGUGGAAGAAGAGAAUAUCAACCUGAUAGAUCAUAUAUGCGAGGCUUAUGUGGUUUACGAACACCUGAUUUGCAGAAGCUGGGGAUAAUGUUGAAACUCAAAUACACUCCUAUACAAUGAAAGGUUUUCUUGAAAACUAUCAUAAUUAAAGCAUAAAUUCAAUGAAAACUAAAUUUGCUGGAGGGGUUUCACAGAUUUUGACCAGAUUGAAUUUCACGAGGCGUCUAGCGUGAAUGAAUUAGGGUUUUCUUCUAGCCUUGAAAUUAUAGAGGAAUAGAGAAAAACAAAAACUCAUAUUUUUCUGAAAAGUCUAUAAUUCAAUAAUCUAAUCUUAAAACAAUACUUCAAUUGUUGAAAUAAAAGUUUUAAACCGAUCUAAUUAAAAGAAUUUAAGAUUAAGUGUGAAAAAUAUAAAAAAUACAAAAUUAUUUAGGAAAAUAAUUAAAAUAGCAAAAAUAGAAUCUUUUGACCUAACUUUGAAAAGAUCCUGUGGUGAUGGAGUCUAUAAAAUUAUCUAAUAAAAUUUAAGUAUAAUAUAAUAAUUAAAAUUAUAAUUAUAAUUAAAGCAUAAAAUGUCGUGUACGCCGAUGCUUGACUUGCGGUUUUCCAUUUUGAUUUUUAAAUACCAGAAAACGGUAAUUUCCUUAUAGAAACUGGUGGUCUCCUCGCGACCUUUUUUCUCAAAUAACUGUUGUUAGAGCAUGAUUGAAGUUAGGAUUUAACCCGUGUCAGAAACUUAAUGACUCUCCUCACUAACAGUAAUUUAUUAAAUAUUUUUAAUAUACUUAGUUCAUGUGAGGUUGUGUUUUCAAAAUCUUCCGAGAAAAAAGGACUAAAUGAUGACACACACGACAUUAAUGCAAAAAUAAAAGAUAGCACUACUGGCCAAAUUAAAUUUCACGAGAUGUAUAAAUUCAAACUAGGAUUUUCCAGCCUUUAAUACUCUAUGGAGAAAAAAACUCUAAUAUUUUUAUAAAAAGCUUAUAAUUUAAUAAUCCAAUCUUAAAACAAUAUUUCAAUUGUUGAUAUAAAAAAUUAAAACUGAUCUAAGAAAACUAAGUGGAAAAAAUAAUAAAAUAUAUUAUUUUCAGAAUAUAUUAACAAUUUAUUUCUUGAACAUGAAUACCAAGAAUAGACAGAGAGACACAGAGGAAUCAUUCACAUUUGCACUUGAAAGAAGCCAACUGUAUGCAAAGAGGGCCAAGAAGAACAAAUGAAUUAGUUUGCUGAAACAGACAAUACAAACAAAAGGAGAAGAAUGAGAAAUCAGAUGGGCAGUGUGAUGGUAUUUUCAGAACUAUGGUUGUGCCUUUUGGAAGAGAAUGUGCUUCUUCUCUGACCAUUGUGUACAAUUAUGGUCGUUGUUUCAUCAAAAUCAGAGGGCUGAUUCUGCCUUCUCCUUUACAGCUUCCAAAAGAAAAGGUGAGAAUGGGCUAUUCUUGCUUUUGAUAUUUGAAAUCAUAACAUGCUCCACUGAUUGACUUUUGGUGUAACAUUUUGAUCCUUAAACUUCACUUGGCCGUAAUUUCCUGAUGAUUUCUUUAUGGGAAACAGGUUGUCUUCUCGCAAUCCUUUUCCAAACAACCCCUGUUAGAGCAUCAUUAAAGUUUUGAUUUGUACCAUCAUCAAAAAAUGACUGUCAUCAUCAUCACAACGUACUUCCAUUUCAAUUAAUUCUUUAUAUUAUAACGCAGCAGAACAUAAAAUAAUGGGUGAAGAUAUUUUAGCUGAUAAUGGGUGAAGGGAUAUUUUUUUUCUAAUUGAAAACGACUUGUCAGCUUUAGAAAAUGCAUGCAGGGCCCAGUUUAAUUUCAAUUUCUCAUACUCUCGUUAAUGCAAGUUUGGACAGCUUGGGGAUGUGUCGUCCAUCCGGUUUCCUUUUUUGAUCGGGAGUCAAUGGGAUUAGUAAUUGACACUUCAUCAUCAAAUCAAAAUUAAAAAUGUUAAUGAACUCACAAUUAAUUGCCAUUAAGCUCCAUUGAGUGUAAACAAUGAAUUUAUAAAAUAGUCAAAAGUGGGAUGUCGUGAUUUCAACAAUGCCGUUUCAGAAAAUUGAUAGUCAUGAUGAAAAGAAGAAGACAGAAUUGUUGAGUUGAAACGUGAACGUCGUGUUCUCCUGAUCAAUUGUAUAGUGAAGAUGGUGGAACUGAUGCGGGUGCAUAGCACCAACCAUUACUUCCCUAAUGAUUUCCUUGCGGAAGAAAUUAUUACAUUUUUAAAGUUAAAAGUGCUAAAGCACAAUUCAAAGAAAAUAAGCAGUACUAAACUUAACAAGCUAGUUCAAUGGAGGAGAAUGGUGUGCUGAAACACUAUGAUUUUCAAAAAAAUUGAAGCAUAUCAGAUCCAUGCUGCUGCAUUCGCAAGAAACGAGCACCCAUCAACAAUGUGCUAAAUGUCAAUGCAGAGCUUUAAAUCAUCUACAGAGGCUCAUGAAGAAAAUAGGCAUAAAUGAUAACAGAUAACACACCAGAGCACUCUACGUAAACUGAUAUCUUUAGAAAAUUCAAAGGCAUGAAUGAAAAAGAAAAGCUAGAAAUAUCUAAGUCAGCUCUUAAUUUGUAACAGUCCACAACUUCAUGUUUGGUGUGUACUGUAAACUAUGCUCUCCACAUAAUCAUGAGCUUCAUCUGCAAAAAACCAUUUUCACUUCUUGGGACAAGGGAUCAAAAAAAUACAAACCUGUUGUUGGAUUACAUUCAUAAUUUAUAUCAAGCACUAGAUGCUGCUCGAAGGAAGUCCUUCAAGGAAAAAAAUCAGGAACAAAAAUGCUGAGAGGUCCAUCUUGGAGGUCAGAAAGCUGGAGUUCUACUAGAAGAAGAUACCUCUGGAGAGAGAAAUAAAGGAAGCCUGAACUGCUUAGAGUUUUCUUACCGAAGCUUCAAGUUAAGAUCAUUUUCAUUUCAAUUUGGAUGUAGAAAUAAUGAUGGGAUGUGAAAAUUAUAUUUUCAUUUCAGAGAGCUGGUUGAUUAUAUUUUGAAAAAGGGUAUAUAUGAAAGUUAAAUCCUCUGUUCAAAUGAACAAAGGGAUCAACUUGAGCAAGAGUCAACAAGCUAUCCUUCGAGGUCAAUGGAACAUACCACUCAUAUUAAUCUUCUACUAUUUAGGGGAAUUCAUACAUCCACUCAUCUUAAGCUGGAAAACUUAUGGAAAGCAUUCGCAAUUGUUUCCAAUGUAUCGACUGUAAUCAAUCAAUAGAUCAUCAACUAUUGUCCUCAUUGAAAGUUUCCUGCUCCCUAUAUAGAGAAUGUCUGAUUAAUUUCAUUAAAUAUGCAUGAUUCCACUGUAUGUUAGCUAACCAAAAGAGCCUACAGGCCAAAUAAACAACAGGAAUAAGAGAAACUACUUCCAACGCCAUCAUUUCUCCUUUCUAGUAUCAUCUUUUGUUUAAUGUUUAAUGCUCGUAGCCUCUGAGCACUCCAAACUAAUUUUUAAAAUAAAAUAUCAAGAGAUGGCAGAAAAUGAAUGUGCUCAUCAACUAUUUUCCUCAUUGAAAGUAUACUGUGGUAUUUUAAAUUGCUCCAGUUUUUAAAAAAUAGAAGGCCACAGGCCAAAGAAACAACAGGGAUAAGAGAAACCGUUUUUUAUUUGAGAAAAUACGAUACUGCAAACUAUUUCUUAUGAAUAAAUCCCGUAUUACAAGAAGCCAAGAAUUGGUUGGUUGCUCAGCACAACAUAACUCAACAUAACUGAUACAAACAAUUACUGAUACAAGCACAAGGACAAACACAAGUCACAUCAAAAUAGAAAGGCUAAGCAACAAGAACACUUCUCACAGGCAAAUUGCUAAACAUGCAGUGAGCAACCAUUGAUUUGGAAUGCGACUGCUUCUCCACAGAGGAUUGCAACAAAUUCAGAAAGCAGCCCACACGCUCCUGAUAAGAUCCAAUCACCUUCUGAAUCUGGACAACUUGGGAAAGUUAAUUGCCAAAAAGCAGCAGCAAGUGUCAAUGCAUUCUUCAAUGAAGUAAAACCACCUGCGACGCCAAUGCGGAUUUAUGCACAGUACUGCUGCAAUUGUCAACACCACAGUUAUGUAAAACACACCAAAGCUGGCAUAGAAACUGUCCAUGUCUAUGAAGCCACCAUCUCCAUUGAAAUCAUUAGGCACUCUCGCGGAUGGUGAUUCUGUUUUGUCGCAACUAUUUUGCAAUGGAGGUCCACAAAGAAGAGGAUUCCCUUUAUAACUGCUUUCAUCAAAGGUACCAAAUUGAUUUUUCAUCUCCGGUGUUCUUCCUGACAAAUUAUUGUACGACACGUUAAAAACUGCUAGAAAGGUCAGUUCAACGAGUUGUGCAGGAAUUCUCCCAUUCAAAUUGUUGUGAGAAAGAUCCAAGCUCUCUAGCUGCUUCAGAUUGAAGAAGGAUGAAGGGAUCAAUCCAGUGAGAUUAUUUUGUGACAGAUUUAGAGAAUGUAUCCCACUUAAGUUUCCCCAUUCUAUCGGGAUUUCUCCAGUGAAUCUGUUACAAGAAAG
rnacentral:lncRNA from 1 species